UCCUCCUCCUCUUCUUCUUGUUCAAAGCUGUCUUCCUCUACUUCUCUGCGAUUUCCGGCGCAGCUUCGACGUGUUCGGAUCGGAACUCAGGACUCACGGCCUCGGCUUCUUCCUCCGGUAAUGAAUUUUCCGUUUUUGUAGUUUCGUAGUCUGUUUGUUUCCCGAGAAAAUCGAGGAAUUUAACCUGAUGAAAUUGUGUAGCGUUAAAAUUCCUGUUCUAAAAUUUCUGUGUUUUGUAGUGGAAGAGAUUGCAAAAUUUAAAUUUAGGAAGCAAAGCAUACAACUGCAAAUCUUGUUGUUAUCAUAUUUAUGGCCCAAACACCAAUUGCUUUGUAUUUCUUUGGUCCUUGCCGUUUCCUAUGAGUUGUGAGAAAAUCACAUGGGUCGGUUUUCGGAGUUUCCAAAUUUUAGUCUUUUCAAGAGAAUAAAGACAUUUAAUCGAAAAGUGCAGGAAAAGUAAACUCAGAGGAUGGUUUGCAAGACAUAGAUUUAGCAUGCUACAGGAGGCAUGUGGAAUAUAGAGCUUAAGGACAUGGAACUCACUAUUGAUUGUCUUUGAAAUGGUUUUGUACUUGAUUUUGGCGCACGCAGUUGAUUUUUUAGACUAUCGGUAAACUAAUUUGGAAUCAAACCUCUCUCAAACAAUUAGAAUGCACAAUGUCACCGAUAUAGGAUAUUAGGUUGCAUCAGUUUGAUCUUCCCCCAUUUUCCAGGUAAAGUACCUUUUCAUGAUAACCGUUUGGGGCAUAAAGUUGGGAAGGGACAACCUAGAACCAAAAUUAUUGAAUGGGAUGAAAGGUGUAGAUUGUAAAACUUGGAUAGUAUAUCUUGUAACGAUUUGAAUGAUAGAGACAGUGAGCAAAUCCAUAUUCGGGGCCUUCAUGCAUGGACUCGAGUGUUCUUUAAUCAUCUAAUCAGAAGCCGAUUGUUUAUACCAGUCAAUCGACGGUCCUCCUAUCACUACUGGCUUUGCCUCAAGUUACAAGUGAAGUUUCAAUUCAGGAUGAUGACCUAUCAUGUUGAAGAUCAACACCAGCCCAAUUGGUGUUUGGAUUCUAGAAGAUUCUAGCAGCAAGUCUAGAGGGCAGAGCUUCCUGAAGACUUGCACUUUGUCCAGGUGCAAUGGAACUAGAUUUUUCUAUAGAAUUAUCUAAAGCUAAGUAGUCUUUUGUAGAAAGGAUUAGAAGGAUGUUUCUUAUGUCGGUGGAAGGCUGUGUGCAUGAUCAAUGCACUAGAAAGUUCUAGUGAUAGUAUAAGUCGGCAAACAUGCCUUAUAAAUAUGUAUGUAUGAGUGUUGUAAUGUAACCAAGAAGAAGUAAGAGAGCAAACCAAGAGAGAGCUAAGUAAGAGAGUGAGAAGCCUUGUAAGUGAGUAGUCUUGUAAAGAGUGUGAGUGGUCUAGAGUUUGUCUCUAGAAGUGAGAGAGUGUCAUACGUUCUAAAUUGUGUCCUUGAUAGUUGUUGUGUUGUAAUAUUCUGUGAGUUAAUACAAGUAAUUUGUUUACUUGUUUUGUCUCUCCAACACUUGUGUUAGAGCUGUGUAUUCUAGUUUUUCCUCAACAUAUCACUUAGGUGGUUAUCCAUAUGGACCAUGUUGUGACAGUUUCAAUAGCUGCGUGUACUCUUUCUUUGCUGUCUUUGGAAUAUUUAGCCUGUAUAGCUGAAUUACGAAGUGUGACUGAAUUGGUGAUUCAGUAAUUACAUGUAUAUGUGGAAAAAAAAUUACUUUUCGUAGGUUGAAGCAAAGAAGCAAACAUUUUCAUCCUUCCAAGAUUUGCUGGCUACCUCUGAAAAACCUGUGUUGGUUGACUUCUAUGCAACCUGGUAAGCUUUUCUUGUGUAUCUCACUUCUUAUUUUGUUUGCAAUUUGUCAUUAUUGUUGUAUUGUCAGCUAAACUUUAAUUCCUAAACAAGGUGGUAGCUAUUCACCUUUUAGGUUUUCCCUCUCUAUAUAAAGGUAAGAAUAGACAAUUAAGUAAUAAACUCUGGUUGACAGGUGUGGACCUUGUCAAUUUAUGGCACCCAUCCUCAAUGAAGUCAGUAUUACGCUGAAUGACAAGAUCCAGGUUGUGAAAAUUGACACAGAGAAGUAUCCUAGCAUUGCUGAUAAAUAUAACAUACAAGCAUUGCCUACUUUCAUCAUAUUUAAGGAUGGAGAGCCAUUUGACCGCUUUGUAAGUUGAAUUUGUUCUCUUUUUUCCUUUGGGAGAUUAAUAUGUUUGCCUUUGGUAGACGAUCAAAUGUCUAGAAAUGUGUAAUCUGUCACAUAACAUCUCAUACUGAUUGCAUGCUUUUUAUACGGCCAGAAUAUGGACGGGUAUUGUCAAGUUGUUACGAUUUGCUGUUAAUUCCACUUUUUAGAUUUUGUAAGAUAUCCUAUGCACUUGCAUUGGUUUACAAUUUCGUCAGGUGUGUUGCUUUGCAUGCUUUUCUUCUUCUUUUGCUUAGUUUUGAUUCGAAGAUGUUGAAUUUUAAGGAUUUAUGUUCUCUUAGAUCCAAAAUAUUAAAUAGAAUAAAUAAUGUAUGUUCUCCGUGCAUGUAUGCAAGGCACUGUUAGAUUAGUUUUGGCGGUUUUUCUUUUUGGUUUUUUGGUCGAUUUUAAAUAUCUAUGAUGACUUUGCUUUCAUUACUUGCAGGAGGGUGCUAUGACUGCUGAUCAGCUUGUCGAACGAAUAGAAACUACUUUGAAAGUUAAGUAGGAGACAGGUGAGCUCUAUAAUAUUCGUGAGUUGAGAGCACUCGUAUCGUCCGCUGUUCUUUCUCUGCUUCCUCCUCCCCAUUUCCUAACCUUUCCUUUUUCUUCACUCUUCAUUUAUUGGUCCAGCUUCUCAGGUUGAACCGAGAAGCUGAUCGAUUCAGCCGCAUUGCAAGAAAAAUGGAUUUUAUGAAGAAAGGCACUGGAUGUUUCCUCUGCUUUUUUAUUUUUUGUAUGUAACUGGUUUGUACCAACAAAAAAGUUACGAGACUUGGCGUAAUCGCACGGGUAAAGCUUAGUGAAAACAAUUUUACGAUGUCAGUUUCUGUUGUGAUAUACACAUCCACAUCAGUUGCAUUUGAUUGAAAUUCAUGAUUUGGAAAAGUUAAUGAAAUUUUGUGGACAUUCAUUUCAUUUGCAAUGCAACUUAGACCUUAUUGGCAAUUGGUUUGUGGACACAAGAUUUACUACUUAAUUUGGAUACCUUGUCAAAUUAGAGUCAAUAAUUAACAAUGGCAUAUCUAGUAAGAAGUUAUUUCUGCAUGCCUCCCUUCCCAUUUCCUACGGCUGUUUAGCUUGCAAGCACACAAAUCAUUUGUAAUAAAGAUAUGCAAAUACGAGAUCAAAUUCAUCGAGAUUGAAUGAACAAUAAUUUGGUAUCUUAUGUUUAGCUGCGGACAUGACUGACCUCAGGAGGUCUCAAUGGAAAAAAUUUCAGAAAAAAUGUAGACAAAAGUAACAUUGAGGAAUUAAAUGAUAAUUCUUUUCAUUCGUAAAUAAUAGUGUAAACAAUGUUAUUACAAUCUACAAAGUCCAAAAUUAUCAUCGACGAGUUUUCAUAUUUUGAAAAUGUUUAUGAUAGUUUCAUACUCAACGAUCAAUCCACAACUCUAAUAACUGAAAUUUGAGAAUAAUGAGUACAAAUAGUGAACUUGAUACACUAGGAAGCUUAAGGAGGUCCCAGAAAGUCCAUAUUCGGGGCCUUCAUGCAUGGACUCGAGUGUUUCUUAAUCAUCUAAUCAGAAGCCGAUUGUUUAUACCAGUCAAUCGACGUCCCAGAAAGUCCGCUCUUCUGCUUCGACGUUGCUGAACCCGCUCUACCAUGGAGACGGCUCCCUCCUCGUCUUCCUACCCAUGGCACGGGUUUAGUCCUCCUUGAUGGUCAGCUAAUGUUCACCUAAGCUUUCGCACUUAGUAAACAAGCCUUCACUAGUUGCCUGGAACAUAACUACUAUUACUAUGAUGAUUAUUACGCCGACCACCACGGCGUUUAUAAUGCUUCUGGUUCUAAUUGGGGUGUAGUAGCCUGUCAACUGUCCAGUACCGAUUCCGAUGACUUCGGAACUUGGAUUAAGCCCAUCCAAAUUCUGGAGCCAAGGUUGCCGAGUGAAUUUUGGGGGCGAUGCACACUUAUAGCUUUGCUCAUCUAGGAGGUUCAAAAGUAUGCUUUGUUCUUUCCAAUCCCAUCUCGCACCCAAAAAAAAUUUGUCUUUGGAAGGUGCGUCUUCUUGUUCAAACUUUUGAGUUUUCCUUCUCCAAACAAAGUACCACCCUCACUAGUGCUGCUUUAUUUUAUUGUUUUUUAUUUUUUGUUUUUUUUGGAAAACCUUAAUGGUAUAAGGGUAAUUUUAUUGAUAACAAAAAAAUAAGUUACACCUAGACAGAAGGGGACAUAAACCUUACCCCUCAUAAAACAGAGACAAUAAAUAGGAAUACACGAAAAAGAAGGGGGAACAUAAACCUUACCCUUCUAGAAAUAAAAAACGAGAAUGAUACAAAGAAAAGAGGGGGGGGACAUGAAACAUAAUCCCUCUAAAACCAAACCUAAAGGUCUAAACUUGCAAAACAAGUCAAACAACCCCAUAAAGUUAGGAGAAAAAAAAAAGUGAGACAAACCUGGAUGCCGACAUGCACAUUAAUUUGAGAAGCAAUAACCAGGCAAGCCAACAUAGUCUGAAAACAAAGCAGCACAAACCGCCAUCGGAGGAGAAUCAUGCCAAGUUAAAGAUGGAGAAGACAAUCCCAUGUUAGCAAAAUUGUCUGCAACAAGAUUUACUUCACGAUGUACAUGAGAUACAUAGAAAGUCAUUUUCCGAAUACGAUCUAAACAAAUAGACCAUUGCGUAUGAAGAGGCCAAGGAGGAUCAAAAUUAGACGAUUGAAGAGCAUAAAUAACACUAGAACUAUUACUUUCAAACCAAAGACAAUGCCAACCCUAUUGAUAUGCAAACUCAAUACUAAUAAUAAUUGCUAAUAACUCUGCAAAAAAAAAAAAAAAAGUUGCGAUGACCAAUGCAUUGACAGAAACCUCCAAGAAAACAACCAUGACAAUUCCUGAAAAAUCCUCCACAUGUAGCAGGAUCAGAAUUUCCUUUAGACAAACCAUCUGUAUUAAGCUUAAACCAAGGAAACCAAAGGACAGGAAGAAUAGUAGGUGCCUUGCGAGGGAUAGGUUGGAUCCCCAAAGAAGAAAUGAUCCGAGUGUCAAAACCUUGAGAAUAACCAGAAAUAAACUUCCCACCAUGAACAAUCGCCGAAUUGAUAGAAAUGCAAAAGACGAUGAAAAUAGAUUGGACGACCCUAAAAAAUAAAUUUAUUUUGAGCCUUCUAAAUAGCUGAAAUAGUAGAAAGACCCGCAAAAAUCCAUAGAUUGUGCAACUGUUUGGAAAAUGGCUUACAGACAUAGACAUCCCAAAAAACAACCAAAGAAUCUGAAAGAGGCAAAAAUGUACCAAAUUAACAUACUAACCACCUCCAAAGUUGCCUAGAUAUCUGACAUCCAAUGCUGCCGAUGAUGGUGAUGAUUAUAAUUAUAAUGAUGGAGGCUGCGAUUCAAAAAGAUCAUUCGAUUUCUCCUCUUUCAAAGCCGACAUCCUCUCCACUCGCAACUUUGAAUACGAUUGGUGCGGAGAAUCUUUUGAGACUGCUCACGCAGCCGUGCUUGGUUGCUUUGCCCUGUAAGUUUCGUCGGUAAGGUUAACUUUCCAAUUCUAUCCCAUUUUCUGUAUUUGCUUUCUCCUGCGUGCGGCCUUAACUUGUAACUGUACUACGUAGGAAAGCAUUAGUCAAUGUAUUUCCUGUGCACACACUAUCACUUGAGGAACAAGUUCGACUGCAUUGUUUGCGAUUUAAGUCAAUCUAGACCCUGCAUUGCAACUCGCAUUGGGUCUUACUGGAACUACUUACAGCGAGCAUGCAAAACCCCCUGCGUGUUGAUUGAGGUUCUGAGGGGGAACACUCCAUCAAGCACGUUGAAGAUAUGGUCUGUAGCAGCAUUGCUUGGAAAUUGGAAAUUGGAGAUCUGCCUAGCUAGCUACUAUUUCUGUGUCUAGCUCCUCAUGUAGUUUUCUGUUAGGUAAUUUUUUUUUUUUUUUAAAUGGAAGAACAGGCAUUUUAUUAAAUAAAAAAAAAUAUUUAGUCAUAUUUUUAGGCUUAUUAUAUUUAUACCCUACAUAUUGUUGAAUAAACCUUAUAUACUUAAUACACCUCAUAUUUACUUUUUCAAUUAAAAUUUAUCUUAAUACACCCCAUUUACUUUCCCAUAUUACCCUCCCACCCCCAUUCUCAACAUACACCUUACAUUUUCUAUAUACACCCCAAAUUUUUUAUAACUCAGUCACAAUCAAGAUUGGAGGAAGAUAAGGCUGCUGAGACUUUGUUGAAGGUGGCAGACGAGGUUAUACGCUGAGGUUUAAUGACAAAAAUUCGAGGGUAAAAGCAGCAAGGGAAAGGAGAACAAUUAGAGGGUCUCUUGUAAUGUGAAUGGCACUAGGACUUUGCCCAGAUUGGCAAAAACGUAGCUGAAUGUUGAUGUAGUUUUAUUGCAUUUUCAGAUGUAUGAAAAAAAAAAACAUAUUUAUUUAUUGGUGUUGAAUUGCAGAACAAAGAUUGUGUUUAGCCAUUUUAUUACUAUUAUCAUUUCUUUAAAUUGGGGUUAUGCCGUGAGAUGAUAUACAUAAGGAAAUAUUGUUAAUUUCUUCGCACUCCAUUCAAGUUCUAACCUUGUAGUUUCAUCAUUUUGCUUGCCUUUGCUGGGAAGACAAAAAAAAUAGAUAAAUAAUACGUUAAAAGUGAUUUGAGGUUUAUUCAGAAUUUUUUUAUAUUUUUAAAAAACUAAUAAGGUCAAAAUUGACAUUGUAUAGAGUGUAUAAGUUAUUUAAUAUCGAAUUUGAAUGUGAGGUGUAUUUAUCAGUACGGAUGUGUACAUCUUUUAUUGGCACGGAAGUACUUAUCGAUUAUGCAUUGAAUUUUUUAGUAAUUUAAUUCAAAAUGUGAAGUAGCUUUUGUAAAGUUACCGAAAGCGCCGUGACGGAGAUGAAGAUGGAAAUGGUGUAAAACUUUUGACGAGUUGAACCGAAAGCGCCGUGACGGAGAUGGAGGUGGAGAUGGAGAUGAGGGCCGGGGAAGAAAUAGAGAUAGGACAAGACAUAACGCCACCGCUCCCUCCGCUUUCUUCCUCUCUCCACCACUCCCUCCUCUCAUCUCACUGCUCUUCCUGCUUCUCCCCUCUCCCUCCCCAACCCUUCCCUCCCCUCUUUACUCCUACCUUUCCCAACACUCCCUCCUCCUACUACUGCUCCUCCCUCUGCUCCUCCGCCGAUUCUCCCCUCCACGUCUCCAGCGCCGAGCCCUACCUUCUCCUGCUUCUCCAAUCCCACCCCUCCGCCUACCCCAACGGCGACUCCUCCGACCUCCGCGCCGCCCUCCGCCUCCUCCAAUCCCUUCCCGCCACCUCCCCCUACCCUCGCGUAGCCGGCCUCCUGACGAAUCGCCACAAACUCCUCCACCACCACGACCAUAGGGUUCGCGACGGCGCCAGAGCCAUGUUCCUCGCCAGGAAGAUGCGGGAUGAAUCUCCGAAUUUCUCUAUCGAUGCGACUAUUGCCAACGUUGCUCCGCACGACGCCGUAUUGGAGGAGGCCGUGCUGUCAUUGGUGCUAACGAACGCCGUGGAGGUGCAGGAUAAGACCGGGCGCACCCUUGGAAUUUCCGUCUACGGUCCCAGCUUCUGCUGGAUCAACCACAGCUGCUCCCCGAAUGCUUGCUACCGCUUUUCUUUGAUGACACCGCCAACGCCACCUUGUUGGCCCGAAACGGCGCUGCUGCGCAUUGUCCCCUUCGGCCGCUCCUCCGGUCGUGCCACACAAGUAAUCCCUGCAAAUUUGCACCGUUUGUUUAAUUUAUAGUGGAAUAAGAUUGAAAUUCAGGGUUGUGAGAUGGAUAUUUGUUGCAGAUUGAGAAUGGUGUUUGUAGCAAUAAUGUGUUAGCAAAAGGUGUUGUGGUUUUUUUAAGUUUUCGUGCUUCUUUUCGGUUUUUGUUUGUUUGAAUUAGUACACCAAAUUUACCAGUAUUAUUGAACCAUUCGUGUAUAUUACGAAUGUAGAAAGCCGAGGUUAUGGUCCAAGAGUGACGGUUAGGAGCAUCAAGAGAAUCAAGAAAGGCGAAGAAGUGACUGUUACUUACACUGAUUUGUUGCAGCCUAAGGUAUCUGCAUUUUAUCUAUAUACACAUUAUACAUGGAUCAGCGAUUGGAAUUUUGAAUUCAUAUAAUCCACAUCUGUUUUGUCAAGUUAACUGAGCGAUGUUUCGAUGACUGUGAGAUGAGAAUUUGCUAGUGUCAUUUUCUGCUUAUUGUCCCUGUCUUAGGAAACUAAACUUGAUGAGACAAUGCAAGGCAAUCCGACUUCUUUCCACUUUAGGGAUUAGCUAAAUCUUGCCCCAUUUGACUUUUCUUUUACUUAUUUCCAAUUUUAAUUGUGUUGAUGUUAUAUUUUAAUCCCUUUCUUUUAACGUCACAUUUUCUUUUCUUCUCAUGAGCUCCUCCAGGCAAUGAGGCAGUCAGAGCUAUGGUCAAGGUAUCGGUUUAUCUGCUCUUGUACGCGAUGUAGUGCAUCACCCCUAACCUACGUGGAUCAAGCUUUGGAGGUGGCAAUUCAUGAAAACUUUUUCUUUCUUUCUUGAUAUUCUCAAUUAAAUACUAAUUCUUAAGUCUAUUUGGAGUUCUUCCGUAAUAUCUUUAUACUAUUGAUUUUACAGAAAUUAUAAAUGCACUAGGAUAUUUGUACUUCUAGAUUCUUGUUUUUGUAUCCCCCCCUGUAUAUAGUUUGGCCUUCACUUUGAACAAAAGCUCUUUUUCAACUUGAACAUGAAUUACCUCCUAACCAUUUUUCUUCCUCUCUGGCAGUCAACUUUAUUUCCUAGGAUGUAGCUAAUGUUCUUAUUGGUGUUUUUUGAAUAAUCAUUAACCUUCGGUUUCAAAACUCCAGGAAAUAUUUGCAGUCAAUUCCAACUCCUCCAGUUUGAGUUUAGAAAUAAACUUCAAUAGAGAUAAGGCAACGCAAUUGUUGAGUGUUUACUUUGAUGAUGCUAUUGACGACUACCUGUCGAGUGGCGAUCCUGAAUCUUCUUGUGAGAGGCUUGAGCAUGCGUUCACACAAGGACUCUCUGAUAUGCAAUUAGAUUGCAACGGAGAAACAUCUCAGCUGAGAUACUGGUUGCACCCAUUAAAUUACCUCUCCCUAAAUGCCUACACAACAUUGGCUUCAGCGUAUAAAAUCCGUGCAACUGACAUGAUAGCUUUAUGUUCUAAAAUGGAUGAUCAUCUGUUAAAAGCUUUGAACUUAAGCAGGACUAGUGCAGCAUACUCCUUACUACUUGCUGGUGCAACUCACCAUCUGUUCCGCUCUGAAUCGUCUCUAAUUGUAUCUGUUGCAAAUUUCUGGACAAGCGCAGGGGAGUCAUUGUUAACUCUUGCUAAAAGCUCAGUCUGGAGUGAGUUUGUCCACCGGGAUCUGCCUGUGUCAAAUCCAUGUUCCACUGCAAGUUAUAGAUGUCCAAAAUGCUCAUUGAUAGACAAAUUUGAAGCUUGUUUAUUCUAUGGUCAAGUUCAACAUGCAGAUUUUGACGAUGUCUCAAGUGAAUUCAUUGAUUGCGUCUCUAACUUUACACAGAAUGUUUGGAAUAUUUUGGCUCUCAGUUGCCAGUACCUUAGAUUGAUUAAGAGUCCUAUUGAUUUCAGUUGGCUUGGUACCACAAAAGAUUCCAGUGUAGGGGAAGUUCUGAUUCGGUCUAGUGGCACUAAAGCGGGUUCUUGUGGGACUGAGAGAAGCAUUUCUGGAAGUGAAGCAGAGGGAUACACAGCCCAGGUACGGAUAUGUAUUUUUAAGCUCGGUGUCCAUUGCUUACUAUAUGGAGGAUAUCUAGCGAGCAUAUGUUAUGGUAAUUCCCAUUUGACCUGUUAUGUUCGUAAUAUUUUAGAUAUGGAAGGGAUAUUAUUGAAUCCUUGUCAUGAACCAAAUUGAGUUUGAGAUCUUAGAAGUUAAAUUAUUCCUGUUUUGGUGUUAAUUGCUGUGUUAUUAUACUCGUUAAGAAUCUGUUAAAAAUGUUGGUUGCAUAUAUCGUCUUCUCUGCUUGUGAUUUUUCGCCUCGAACUCUAUUCGUCUUGCAUGAUGCCCCAAGGAAUCAGCCACACGUAUCAGAAGUUUGUGUCAACGGAUUCAAUUUGAUAGACUACAGUGGGUUUCAAAAUAGAAUAAUCCGCUAUAGCUGUUUCAUAUAUCAUUUCGGUUCAGUCAAAUUAAAGAACCAAAAUUGAAAUCACAAUUGGAUUCGAUUUGGAAACAUCUGAAAUACAAAAUUGAAACCACAAUCGAAUUAAAGAACAAAAAUUGUCAUCUCCUGAUGCAUCCCUGUUUCUAUUUGUGUUCGUGUUUGUGUCAAAAAUACAUCGUAAGAAUGUUAUAACAGUUGCAUACUUAAAGCGACGCCCUACUGAAUGUUACAAUAGAUGCAUACAAGACCGUCGCUAAUGUCAAUGUUUCUUCUUUUUGUUGGACUUUGAGUUGGAGCCAUGCUCAUUUUUAUGUCGCUUUUCCCCACUCUUGUGACUCUCUCUCUGUUUUCCUUUAUCCAUUUUGUUUCUACUUGAUUUCACGCUAACGAGACCACCAGCAGGUAGGUUUGCACCGCCAUUCUGUAAUGCAUUCUCAAAGUCUGCAUCUCUGUCCCCAAUCGCGUACUGUUGAAGCAACUUGGGAUCUAAUGACCCCUCCGAGUUGGAUCUCAUCCCAUCCUGUAUGUGCGUAGUCAAGUCAGCCCAACUCUUGGGAUUCAGAACGCGGGAAAGAGAGGCAGUUCAGGUAACACGAAGGUAAGGAAGGAAUAAAGCGUACCUCAACUUUUCUUGCAGCAUCAUUGAGAUCAUCAUCAACAGAGAUCUUGUGAGGUUCCAAGAGAGUCUGAACCAAAAUUUCCGAAUCAGAGUGGAGUUACAACAUAGGCAGAAGAAAAGCACAGUAGCAUACAUACACGCACGCACGCACAAUUAUAAUGUGAUAGACGAUGUUUAAGCUUGCAUUAAGAAACACAAUAAUGUAAACUUAGCGAUUACAUAUCAAACAAAAUAGUUCAGGUACCAAAGUGGCUCACGCGCAACACACAUGUCAAUAUCAUAUAGUUAAGCCAACUAGAAUCAUAAUGCAUCCUACGACAUGAAAUUAUUAGAAAGAGAUGGAAACCACCAACAUAUCAUGUACUUUCCAUAAGAAAAAAAAGGGUUACUGCUUUGCUGAACUUACUUCUUUUGGUUUAGGCAAGGUUGACACAAGGCCCUCAGAUGCAAUAGCGUAUAGAUAUUUGUGAAACUUUUUCAUAACUUUUAUAAACAGAGACAAUAUUUGCUGCCUUUCCAGUUUCAUCAACCCCUGGAAAACGUGAAUGUAAGUAAAAAUCUACACCUGAUAAGAAUGAAAUAAAGAGCAGAAAUGACGCCACCAAGUAGAGUGUUUUGUCUUUGCAAGUGGGUUUGAUUGCGUGCUCGCAUUGCAUCUAUGUGACUGGUAUAGCCAAGCAAACCAUAUGAGUAACAAGUAGAGAAACAAACCUCAAUAUAGGAGAUAUCUUGAUUCUGUAAGCCAAUGCAGAGCAAUAUGGAAGCCUGGGCACCUGUCAAUGUCACUGGAAGUUUCUCUUGGAAAUACAGAUGUGAAAGCGUUGGAACAAGAUCCAAAAUCUGUAAAAUAAAAGCAUAACUUUAACAUGUGUAAAGUUAUAAACAAACGAUAACUAGAGUACAAGAGGACCUCAGUUUAGAAAAUGACACUUAAUUUCAAAUUCAAAUGGACCCCAGGGUUUAAACUGUAAUUUUAAAAACAAUUCGCAGGUAAUUUGAAGAAAGUAAGGUCUGUUGGUUAAGGAUGAAAAUGCAAUAAGCCCUCGGAUCCCUCCUCCCCACUAUCAUCUAUGCCUAACAGGAGGAAGAACAUCUUGACACAUUCAAACUGGCAGCCUUUCCCAAAAAACAGAAGGAAGCAGAUAAUCCACUCAAACCAUAAUCAACAAAAAUGGACGACAUGCCAUUGACCAGGAUGCACUGCACCUUCCUGAGAACCGCACAACAAAUGGGUUCACCUCCCUCAGGGGCAUACCCACAAGGGGGUGGGAUUGGGUGGGAGGGGAAGAGAAGGGGUCUAAUAGCCUAAUCGCUGUUGAUUUCAUCUUUUUAUGUAACACAGAGCACGGGAUGAAACAUCGGCCACAGAAUCCUACACACAAAUUACUUGUAAAGUACACAAAUUCCCCUUCUCAAACAAGCAAUUUUGAACUUUUAAUGUGUAACUGAACAUAUAUAUACAUAUAAUUAGAUCAAUAACUAAACACAAUGUCCUAAUAGUUCACUUUUGAAAAAGAUUAUUCAUAAAACAUUGCAAGAGUAAUAUAUGUUCACAAUCAUGGUAUCAGAUUGUCCACAGUAAGAAAACAAAUAUUUCACCACUGUCAACUAAAAAUUGUAUCACAAUCACAAUCAUAUUGCCACACUGAGACGAUAAUUCUAUCACAAAGGAAUACAAUUUUUCUUUUGUAAUGCAAUAUUACUUUCUUUUUCUAAAGGAAAGCAUAUUUUGUCUUGUAACGCAAAUAUCUUUUUUGAUUCUAAGGGAAGUAUUUCUUGUUCUGUAAUGCAAACAUUACUUCUAUUUUUAAUAUGAAUGUAUGGAAUCAAUUAGUAAUCCUAAGAUAAAAAAAUCCCAAAACACUACAUAGCACUAUGACAGGGCAAGUUGGCAAUCAACCAUUGUUCAGAGAACUUACCAUAUGAAAGUCAGCAAGACUGCUGGUGUAGGCCUCCAGUCGCUUCAUAUCAUAAGGCGAAAGUAAGUCUGUGAUAGACCGUAAGAAUCCAUCUGUGGUAGACGAUUUGGGUUCUCCAUCCUUGUAAUUGAUCUUAGGAUCUAAGAUGCUGGAAAAUUAUUAGUUAGUACGAGCACUUGAACAAUAAGCAUUUAUCAGAAUGGAACUUUUAAUAGUACCUCAUAGCGAGCCUAUAAUCCAUUGUACGAAAACUAUAACCCAAUAGUCUCAAAAAUCUUCUCCUGAAAUCUAGGUAGCCAACAAAUAAUCAAGCUGUGAACUGAAAUACAAAAAAUCUGCACAAAUUUAAAUAGAACAAAGGUUUUCCAAAGAAAAAUGGGCCCACCUAGGUUGAAUGGACGAAAAUCACUGGUUUCAAGUUCAUCAUUCUUCAAAGAUUUGAGGACCAUACACGUAUGCUCCCCGGUCACACCACUCUAUUACAUUGAAAAGAAAAAUGAAAAAUUAUUGUUUAAUCAGUCAUUCAUUCACAAAUGAUAAUAUUCAAAAAAACAGUAAACGGAAAAAAGGAUUCAGUAUGGAGAGGGGAAUCCAUCUUAACUGGAAUAUGUCCAAUAUAGAAUGGAGCAAACUUAUGUUUCCACCAAAACCUGAAAAGGUCCAAGGUAAGCCCAAAGGAGACACCAAUAUAAUGGAGCUUCUCUGGUCGCCUUUCACGAAGAUGAACAAGCAAAUGAGGAAGAUCUGUUCUAGGUUUUAUACUUUCUUCCAGCAAUGAAACCUAUAAAUAAAAUAGACAUAGGUAUCAUUCCGAUAAACAAUAUCAAGGCACAGGCGGCAGGUUGAUUAAUACCAAACAAACAAACCAAUACAUGAUAAUAUACUUUGAUGUCAUUAUGAUUAAAAUUAACACAACAAAUGAUCAUUCACAAAAGUUUGUCAAAUUAUAUUCAAACACAGAAAUUGUUCUACAAUCACCGGAAUGAAGCUUAACCAACUCAAACACUUCGACAGAACAAGAAUUGCAUUACCAGAAACCUAUGAGUUACAAAAUUGCCUCCAAUUGCAAUAAUAAUACAUAGAAUAGUCUCGUAUAAGCAGUUCUCCAACCUAUUAAUUAAAAAUAUUUAUAAAAAAAAAAAAACUAAGCUUGGUGAUUGUAGUUCACCUUCUCAGCAGCUUCUGUGACUCUGAGUGGGGGAGUCUCAACAUCUUCAACGUCCAGUUCAGAAAUAGGAGCAAACUGUCCUUCGUAGUACCUGAGGAGAAAUAAACCCUUAACACCCAUUUUUUCAAAUAUAAAAACAUAAAUGUGAAGCAUCAACUUUUAGAACCAAAGAGAUUCAGUGCAAUUUUCAUGUCAAAACACUUUUAUCUCAAUAAUGAAGUACUUAUGAGUUACAUUGAUACAAGAGCAAUGCAUCCCACAUAUCACACACAUUCCUUAUAUCUGGAUCCCCAACAAUAGCAAUCCAAUGUCACCCACAUAGCACAUGAUACAUACCAGAGGUGUCCCUAGAAUGUCCACAUCAGCCAUUCCUUAUAUCUGUGUCCCCAAAAACAUUUGCAGUAAAAAGUACAUGGACUUAUGAGCACAAAGGGAUAACGGACAUGUAUGGGUUGACUUGAGAGAUAAACCAAGUAAAGUAAGUUCAAGAAAAAAUCUAGGACCAAAUAGGAUACAAGGUCAGAAUCAGUGUGACCCAUCUAAAAAGUUAGGACCCCACAUUAAUUUGUGCAGUCAACAACGAGGAUCCAUCUUUGGAUUAUUAUCCUAAAACGCUCUAUCUUUGGAUUAUAUCCUAAAGUGCUGCUGGUUAAGCUUGUUUCUGGUUUUUCUCUGUUGGAAAUUUCAAUUACUAACGAAAUAUCCAAUCUUCAUUUAAACAUACAGAUUUAAACUCAACUGUUGGCACUGCAGACUCUUGGCCAUUGUUGGGAUUGAAAUAAGCUAGAGUUUCUCAAGAUAAAUGCGGAUGAGGUGGGUUUUAUUUGAGAUAGCGAAUUCCAUGUGUUUGUGGAUUUAUUGCCAAAGCAAUUUGGGAAGAUCCCUGCUGUUUCCUCCAGAUGGAUGGGGUUAUAAUUUCAUUGUAACUUUUCUGAAGUAAGUUUUAGUUGGACUCCUUUUCUUUGCAAUGGACAACUUCUCCUCCUUUCCUUUAGAAAAUGCUUUGCUUUGCUGAAUUUUUCGUAACUCUUAGAAAUGUAACCCAAACUAAGAUGAAAACCCCCAACAUGACCGUAUUUUAAUAUGCUAUCACUUCUAAUCCUCUAUAUCUUUCCACUUGUUUCUCCAACUACCAUCAUAUGACUCGAGAGUUGUAUUGUGAGAAAGUCAUCUGUAUAUCAAAACUGAAAUCAAAUGAUCAUCUCUUCAGCACCCACAUGGUCUAUGUUCUAUAGCUUUCAACCCAAGUGAACUGAAAGCAUGAGACUCACAUUUUGAGUUGCGACUUUAUGUGCCUGAGCCAGGGUGCAUAUGCAUGAUUGCUUUUCAUUCAUUUUAGAAAUCAUUUGAAGCAUUGCUUCAGACAUAUAAUCUUCAAUCUUUUCACCUUUUUUUUUAUGACAAACAGUAGCGUUAGUGGGUUAAAAGUUUAUUUGUUAGGGGGAGGGGAAUCGAUGGGCAUCAAACCCGCACCAGGGUGCAUAUGCAUGAUUGCUUUUCAUUCAAAGUGUAGCAAUAUGGGGCUAAAAGAAUCACUCAGUCAAUCUUUCUCAACACCUUAGGCAUCCACAUACACAUUGGGAUCAUGUAUGUGAUCUACAAAAACGUUUAGGUGGGGAAUAACUCAAAGAGGAGCAUACCUUGUCAAUAGUUCCACUGCUUGUGAUCCAUAUCCAAUCUACAACAACGAAAAAUAAAUUACCAUUUCAACAGAUCCCUGGUUAUAGAUUACCAUUUCAACAAAAUCCUGGUUAUACAUAUUGCUUUGGAAACCAUAAUGAGAGAAUACCUUCAUGGCACUUGGAUGUGUAGCAAUUCGUACAAUCCGAGCACCUGAAAGACUGGGAAAAACUGUGUCCUGAAAUUGCUCACAGAAUUUCCAUGGUAUCUGGUCACCAGAAGGCUGAUGACCAUCACUUAAACUUUUCAUUGCAGAUUCACGAGAGAUCUUUCCCUCAAGGCAGACCUAAGAACAAAAUGAUAGCACAUAAAAUGUUGAGCAUCAAAGAAUUAGUGUUUUAUAGAAGAUGAAGUACGUGUUUAAAGUGUUGUCCUUUAUUGCUAUUUCACAUAAGGUAAAAUUAUAAAUAAAAAAACUAAUAAAAUUUUGGGUAUGCGUUAAAUAACUAAAAGAAAUAAUAGUCCUGAACUAGGGGAAGACAGUCAAACCUGAAUGACACACAAAAUAUCAGGAAGCUGAUUUUUUGACUCAUCAACAGGGCCUGCACGUGCAAAUUAUAAUCAAGUCCAGCCAAAUAGCGGCAAAAAAAGAAAGACCAGUUCUAACGUAACAUAUAUACCAAGUAGCACAAACAGGUGGUGAGCCGGGGCAUCAGCCAUUAGUUGCAAAUCAUUUGGAGAAUUUUUGUAGUGGGAGGCAACAUAUAGAGCCAUCAUCCGCUGCAAGUAUUAGAAUAUGUAAGUUCACUAAUAUGAAAAUGAGAAUCACUAGUCUGACAUUACUUGAACAUGUAAUUACCUGUAAGAACAACUCGCUAUCUUUAUGAUAUGAAAAAAGCGUAUCACAGUUUACGUAGUACAGAUCGCACUCACUGGGUGCAGGUAACCUAGCCGCCAAGAGAGAGAGAAGAGAGAGAGAGAUCAUUAAUAAAGGUAAGGGUUAUAAUGGAGAUGGUUACAUCUUCCUCGGUUCUGACUGUCUAAGCAAAUGUUUUUACCCGUUAAGUUUAGGGAUAUAAUUUGUGAUAUCCAAGCAAAGUAAACCAUGAAGCCAGGAUUCAAUCGGAUCACCAGAAGCAUAUCUGAUAGAUUCUUUCAAUUCUAUCUUUUUGAAAAGACGACCUACAAUCAGGGACAUUUAUCAAUUCAGAAAAUUAUGUCCAAAUAUCACAAAAUAGUUUUUAAAAAAUUAUACAUUGCUCACUUGCAAGCGCCAACAGUUCAAGUAUUUCAGAAACAAUAAUGUUAAGAGAAAGCAGAAGAAACAUUGAAUUUUGAAAAUAAAUUCAAGUUUUGGGGGGAAAGGGGGAUUUUGAUCCAACCUAAUUCAAGAUGAGAAUACAAAACACGGCCAAUAAGGAAUAAGCAUACCAGAUGUAGGCCCCUUAGCAGACACUUGGCUUUGCUCUUCCAAUUGCUGUAGAAGUUUUAGGGACAAAGACCGACCAGUACCUUCAUAGCUUUCAGUGUAAAAUAAAUGUCCUUUAGUAUUUAAAUUGCACUUAGAUUUUUUUUUUUUUACCAAAAGUUGAAUUCAGAGUUGACUUAUAAAUAGAAAGACAUCAAGCAUGAGUCAAGGAAAAGUGGAAACAGCCCAUGAAAAGUGAAAGAUCUUUCAUUCCCCCCCGCGGCCGUAACAGAAAGUGAAAAAGUGAAGUGAAAUAUGUUUCAUGAGACUGUUAAAACCAAAAAAGAACACAUGAUAAGAAUACACGACAUGAAGGAAGAAGAACAUGGAUGAAUCUUACCCAUUAACAGUAGAUGAAAGGAAGACCAGAUAAGGACCAAGCAAAGACUUCACUACUGGUAGUGGAAUAGCAGCUGCUUCAUCAACAACCAACAGUUCAACUUGGGAAAGCUUUUCAUGCUCAUGUGGCCGUAUAUACUGCAAGUACAAGUAACAAAAGUAAAAAACAAAUAGCCCCAAAAGCAAUGAGCAGUACAAAGUUCUUUCUUUUAGGCUACAUGAGGUGUAAAGGUCUAGACCACCUCACAAUCUCACAGGCAUGUUGAGUGCCUCUAUACCAUACAUACUGGAUUAGUGCCAGGAAGACACAUUAGGUUGACCAAAAAGUUUGGCGUUUCAGGAACAUGCUUUUAGAAGCAAGCUUCAGUAAUCACAAACCAUCUAAAUUAUGUUCAAUAUGCUCACACCAAUAACAAAAAUGAUGCACUUGGGCAAAAGUACAAUAGAAUUUUUGGAGUAGUCAAACAAAGACAACCACUAAUCAUAUAUGAGGGCAUACGACAUUUGAUGGGCAAAAGGUGAACACACUCAUGGCUAUUGUGAUGCGGCUAUCCAAUAGAAGAAUAUUCUCUAUUACAACUUGGUUAUCAACUUUUCAUGAGUAACAAUUCCUCCAUGUAUUUGUAUUUUGGUAUCAACUGACUAAACAAAAUCUUUAUUGCUAUUUUUUUAUAGAAAACGAGAUUUUAUUAAACAGCUAAAAAACAAUACAACACUUAGUGGACUAGGAAGUCCACCAUCAAAACGAAACAGCCCUGACAUAUGCCUCAACAUUCACCUCCAUCAUUAUAAAACAGAUCUGCAACUAUCUCACUGCAACUCCCCAAUCCAACAAAAUUACAUAAAAUGAAAGAUCCCAAAACCUUGGAGAGAGAGAAGCCAUAAGAAUGCCCAAUUCUUUCCCAAGAAUUCUCUUGUAAAUCCCCACUCUAAUUUUCAAAGGUUGCAAACUUGAAAUUAACAUAGAAGGUAACUGGCUUCAGAGUCAACUAGGAUAAUACUGGGCAUAUAUGCAGAGAGUAGGCAUAGUAGCAACUUUCAGGGUAUGGAAUAAUACAAAAGGAAAGGGAAGACCACAGAAUUCUCUCAGUCAUCUUAACUUGAUUUGGUACUAAGAAUAAGUUAUGUAUACACUUCCCACUGGCCCAUCUGUACGUUAAUAUAGAAAUAGAUUAUAUCCUGGCAACAAGGAAGUGAAAUACUCCUAUUUUUAUAUCAAUAUUGGGCACAAAUUAAGAGUUCAUCAAUAUAAUUUUACCUCAAUUGUAACCAACUGUGCAUAUAAGUUUACCUGAAUUGUUUGUCUGUGCUGCUUGUAUAUAUUGAUCUGUACAGUUGCUUUCUUCAACAAAGGGUCACUACUUUUCUGUACAUCAUAAUCUAUAUGUUCCUGCAAACAUAGUUUACAACUGUAAGCUCAAUAACUAGUGCACUGUUCGAAGUACAUGAUUGAAAAAUGAAGAAAACGGAGUGACCUUAUAACAAUUAAUGAAAGAUAAAAUGUAGUUCACAGAAUAAAACAUUCAAACACCACCAUCUUGAUAGUUAAACAAUUUCACUGUAAAAGCUAUUAAACUUAGCAGGAAAAAAAAUUUAAACUUUAUCUAACAUUUGAAUCUACAAUUUUCAAUUAGCAACUCUUGUCACAAAUGUUUAUUAGUGGGGUACGUUCUAAGAUAUUGUUAUUUGCUAAUUGUCGAGGAUUAUUUGGGAGUUAAAUCUCACAAGAAGGCGUAAAGAUCACAUUAGAAUUAGAUAUUUUACUAGGAAGCUAAAGAUCACAUUAGAACCACCCGCAGGAAUACAAAAAAACGACAUACCUUAUAGUCCAGUUGAUCAAAACCCUUGCAAACAAAUUCGAACAAGGUUCUUAAGUUCUCAGGGCUGGGUGCAGUUACAAAUAUAUUUGAAUACCUGUGAAGAUAUAUUUGUAUCGUCAAAACAUAGUACAUGAAUAUGAGUGUAGACAGCUACACAUACACCAAAACAGUUUUAAUACAUUGUAAAAGGCAUACUACCCUGCAGCAAUAGCUCCGGAAAUUGCCAAACCAAGUGCAGCCGAUUUUCCACGGCCUCGAGCAGCAAGCAAGGCAACAGUACUUCGGAGUGUCUUGUCCAAGAUUGCAUCAAGAAAUGUAGCAACAGCAUUUCCCUGUUGAAACAUUUACCAACUCAAACUAUGAGUCAUAUUAGUAAAUCACACAUGAUAGAAAAACUCAAAACUAAUACAAAUCAGAGAGAGUGCCUACCUGGUCCAACGUACAACAUUUCUUUAUUAAAGGGCCAACAGGAAAGGCAUCACUCAGCUGCUCUUUUAGAUCCUUCAGUUCCCUUUGUGACUCUGAUAUCCCUUCAGAGUCCUUCAAUCAUGAUCAGAAAACAAGAAAAAAGUUAUCAAAGUUAUCAAAGCUUCACAAACUCCUAGAAAGUAUCCUAAUAACCAUUCGGUAUACACACACUUGAAAAAUUACUUUUAUUCUUUUUGUCAUCUCGCAUAAGAUGCCACGAAAAUAAAGCAUUCCUCGAUUUAUCAGUUCCGUCCUAUAGAAAAGUUACAAGGCUAAAAGGUUACCUCUUUCACUGGAACUGGGGUAAUUGACCUCAUAUGAGAUGAAAUUGGUAAAAUAUUCAGCUCAUCAUCCAUUACUACACAUGAUUUGCAUGACGCAAGUGACAAUAAGAAACGCUCGUUAAAACGUCCAGUAGCCUUAGAAUGGGAUUCAGUUCGAAACCUAUCAUGAACAUCCUGAAAUCAAGAGGCGCUGAUAAGACUGUAUGGAGAUUUUUGCAUUUGAGAGAACGAGAAAGACAGUGUUGCAAAUAAAACAUGACAUAACGGAAUUGUUAUCAAAUAUAAUAUGUGGUGCAUGGCUAUUGCUAUAUUCGUUCUAAGUCCAUAAUGUAGUAAAACUAGAAACUACCUCAACAAGAAGAACAAAUAUUAUGAGGAAACCUAGUUGUUUUUUCUUCUUCUUUUUGGGGCUAGAACAUGAAAAGAAACAACUAGUCUACAUAGGCCCAACUGGGAAACUUAUAUGUUCAGCAGCAUUCUCUUAAAGAAAGUCAAGCAAUUGAAUCUACCAAAAGUCUUCUUGUAGCCAAGCACAUCAUUACGAAAAAAUUCGGAAACUUUUAACAUGGCUAGUUUUCAAGAUUUUGCGGUAUAUAAUAAGCAUAACCAUGCUGGCCUAAAAACUAAGCAUUAAUUGUGUGCAUGCGUAAGAGAAAGAGGUAUUAUUAUAUGCAUACCAUAACCAUGGUGUAGAGGUUGGUGAGUGAGGUUAGAGAAUGAAGCAACAAUAUGACUAGUCCACCUCCCUCCACUGUCUCUAUCGUUCUUGCUAGUAGAUUUGGAGUCAAGGCCUCAAAAUCCUAAUGCAGGAGAUCAAACUUAGUCAUAAAACUUAAAUCAAUUAUACAAGGGGUCUUGGCCAAACCAGUAAAUUUGUAAGUUUCAAGUUACCUGAAGUAUACACAUUCCAAAGGUAUUACCAAGAACUCUUUCUGAAUCCUUGUACAAGCAAUAAGUCAAUCCCCCACUUUCAACAAAAAGUGAGAAAGGAUCAACCUUCUCGGGAUCAAGCAGCCCCCUCUGCAUCAUCUUUUUUACUUGCUUAGCACGUUUUUUCUUGUGACUGCAUCAUGAAGUAGUCAAACGCAACGAAUCAAUAUAUUUUAAAAACGAAAUUCCGCCUUGCCUUAUAAUAAGGUGAAGAAUGGAAGGUAGAAGAAAUCAACCUGCUGAGCUCGAGCUUGUCCUUGUAGCACCACAACACAGUCGGGCGCGAUUUCUUUACUUCAUUGCUUAGCAUAUAAUGAAGAUUCACAAUCUGAAGACCAUAUAAAACUCCAUAUUAGCCAUUUUCCGUUAGUUUUCGAUAGAUUUUCGAUGAUAUUUCUUACCUUGUUUGAGGUUUUUAGUGUUACUCGGUGAGUAUUGCAGGUGAAAACAAGAAACAGUAAAACUGGUAAAAUUUUCUACCCAAUUCAAUUUAAAUCAUUGUUAUAACUCCUCAAAUUGAAUAGGAAUAGCAAAUAGGGAAUGGGAUAGGAAAGGCAGAAGAAAUUAGGAGUACCUGGUCACGGGAUUUGUCGCCGACGAUGACGAACAUGGAGCGGUGCCGGUUUUUGACGCCAUUGCUUAUUAGGGUUCGGAUUCGUUCGUCCACCUUCUUCCUCAUUCUCUCUCUCUCUUCUCUCUCUGUGCAAUUAGGUUUAGGGUUUAUACCAUAGGGCAGUUGUCGUCGUCGGGCAGGGUUUAAGCCGAACUAGUGAGAGAGAGACUAGACAUCGCGGAGAGAUAUUGAGUUCAUCUCAACCGUUGAUUGGCUAUCUGAUGGCUGUUAUCAAAGCUGACAUAAAAAUGAAAACUCAACACGUGGCCAAGUAUUUUUUUUCUCUCUUUUUUGGCUUAUUUAUUGAUUUGCCCCAGAAAUUAUUUUUUUUGUCUUACUCUAGGUCAUGAAACAGAAUUUAUCUUACUUUAUCUUCUAAAACUACCAAAAUCGAGUCAUUUCACCCAUGUUUUGUCAAUUCUAUCUCAUAAACGUUAAAUAAAAGGGAGUCUAAACAUUUCAUACCAUGCUAGCAAAGAUGAGCCACUGUUGUUGGUGAGGUACGAAAUUUUCAAACUUUCCUAAACCUUUAAAACUUAAAAGGUAUCUUGAAUAUGAACGUAAAUGAGGUAAAGUUGCUCAAUUUUGGCAAUUUAUGAAGGGUAAAAUGAGACAAAUUCAAUUUAAGGCUAAAGUGAGAGUAAAUGGCAGUUUCAUGAGAUAUAUCAAUAAAUAAAUCUUUUCUAGAAUACAACUAAAUUAUGUACUCACGGUAAAAGAUAAAUUAAUAUCGAACUUGUCAUUGACGAUAUCUAAACAUAAAACCUUUCAAGUUUUUACCUAUAAGAAUAAAUUUGGUAUAGUAAUUUCUUUUCUAAUUUAAAGUUUCCCAUAGAGUUAUGACGAAUUUGAUACCAAAUUAGGCUGUCAUUGUGUGGCAUAGCCGAAUUCCUCCUCCCUUACUUUAAAAAUAACGAUGUACUCAAAAAAAGUUUCCCAUAGAGUUAAAAUGAUCUUUAGUUGCUUGCUGAGACAACCCAUAUGUAUAAUAAGACAUUGAAAAAGGUGCCUCUGUCAUUUACACUCACACGAUCGAAUAAGUAGCUCCGACAGUUGCAUCAUAAAAUUAAGGGGUUUUCCGAGAUUGUAGUAAGGUUGACGAUUAAAGUUUGGGAAAUUUUCAGGUUAAGGAAUCAAGGGAUCACAUUUUCAAGUUUCGUAGGCAUUCUCUUUCCUUUGGAAUGGUGUUGGAAUCCGUCCUGAAGUUGCCCAUUCCUUUGCUCUUGAUUUUCAGAGUUGGAUAGCUAUAAACCUUAGGACACAUUGUACCACCAUACAUGGUUUACCUUGGAACCUUAUCUUUAAUUCAACUCUCUGGCAUUGCUGGAAAUGGAGGAAUAACUUUGUCUUCAAUGAUGGCCAACAACCGCUUGACUCACCCCAGAAUUUCAUUUUUCAAUUUGCAAGGGAAUGGUGUGAUGCGAACAAGUGUUCUUCUAGUAAGCCUCCUAGACAAAAUCAUCUCAAUCCAUUGGAUUCGUUUGCCAAUUGGUAUACAAAAUCAAUACAGAUGGGAGUUGUAAAGACCCAUUUAGCCACAUAAGUGCUGGAGGUUUGCUUCGUAAUUCUGAAGGGAAAUGGAUUAAGGGAUUUGCUGCUAAUUUGGGCAGAGGAACCAUCAUGGAAGGUGAGCUUUAAGGGUGGUUUCAUGGGACUUUCUAUAGGUUGGGAUGAGAGUUGCAAGGAAGUGAUUAUUGAAUGUGAUUCUUAUGCUGCUGUUACUUUGAUCCAACAACCUAUUUUAGUUCCCACUCUACAAUCUCAUUAUUGACUGCAAAGAAGCCAUUGAAAGAAAUUGAAGAUGUGAAGUUACUCAUAUCUAUAGAGAAAAUAAUGUCUUAGCUAAUCACACGUCUGACUUAGGUCAUGGGUUAUCACUUGGUCUUCAUGUUUUUGCUUCUCCUUCUACCAUUGCUACUAAUUUUAUAGUUUCUAAUACUAUUGGCAGGGCCCUCCCUAGAGCUGUUUUUUAGUAGCUUUUUUGUUUUGCUUGUUGGGCUUUGCCCUCUUCUGUACCCAAAAAAAAAAAAAAAAAAAAAAAUAUUGGGAAAUUUAUUUGGACCCAACUUUUUUAUCUCUACACCCAAAUAAUAUUUUCUCUUAUCUAAUCUUCCAAAUUUGUCCUUAAAUAACAAACAUUGAAGUUUUCUUUGUAUCUCUACACCCAAACCCCACGAUCCACCACUGUAGGGCGCUCCAUUAUUUCCGACAAACCCAACUCAAACGCCAGCAACACUAAAAUCGACAAAUCAAGACUGGAGAACAAAUGGUGUAGGAGUCCUAAUGUGAAUAUUAAAGCAAACUUAAGUUGCAAAACCCUUUUUUAUUUCAAUCGAUGAAAGGACCUUGGGUUAUGAACAUAAGGAACCUAUUAGGGUUUAGAGGUCCCCUCCACAUCAUAUGCAUAAGCCCUUUUUCUUCAUUCAUUAAUUUACGGAAGGGAAAAUUAAUACUAUUAUUCUCAUAAAAAGUGGGAAUACCAAGGAAAGAGAUCCUCUCCACACCAUAUAUUUUUCUUUUCUGAGUAGUUAUAUCCAAUGGAGAGAGGAAAACAAGAGCACCAAUGGUCGCAGGUUCACCGGAGAAAAUGAAGGUGCAGUGGUGAUGUGAGUUUAGGGUUAUUGGGUGUAAAGAUAACAACUUUAAUAUUUAUUUUCUCAUUUUUAUUUAUUUAAGGGCAAAUUUGAAAGUUUAGUAGAGAAAAUUUGUUAGUUGGGUGUAGAGAUAAAAAGGUUGGGUCCAACAAAAUUUCUCAUAAAGUUUAAUCACGCGAUUAAGUUCUUGUGCAAUGAGUAAAUUGUAGCAAUGACCCAUCAACUAAAAAUCCAUUAUUAUUGAUCCCUCAACUCAUCAAAAUAUGUAGUUAUGGUCAUUUUCGUCAACUUUGUAAGAAUUUUGUCAAAAUAAAUUAUGUUGGAAGGACCAUUGUUACAAUUAAGGUCCUUCAACUCAUCAAAACAUGUAGCUAUGGUCAUUUUCGUCAACUUUGUCAAAAUGAGUUAUGUUGGCAUGACCAUUAUUGCAAUUGGGUUAAAGUUGAGGAAUCAUUGCUCCAAUUGGGUUAAAGUUGAGGGAUCAUUUCUCUAGUUAGAUUAAAGUUGGGGGACCAAUGAUAAUUAAGUUUUAGUUAAGGGAUCAUAGUUGCACGUUUUGAUGAGUUGAGAGAUCAAUGAUAAUGAAUUUUUAGUUAAUGGAUCAUUACUCCAAUUGAGUUAAAAAUAAAGGACCAUUGCUACAAUUUACUCUUGUGCAAUAGAAGAUUAAUUUGGCCGAACAACCUGAUUAAGGUGCCUACUUUCUCUUUAAUUCAUUGGUAUCAUUUAUUUUCCCUUAAGCUGAAUUAUGCUCAAUUUAUGUAUCAAUAUUGUAAAGUUGUCUUUGUUAGAGUAAUUUGGACAAUAUAAAUUGAAAAUUAUUUGUGUAUAUGGAAAAGAUUAACCUCAGGGGUCACUUCGCCGGACUCCGUAGCAAUCUCCACCACUCCAAUCGUAAUGGUGAGUAAAUCACUUGUGUUUGUUUCCAUUUUUUCAAUUGGAAAUUGGGGGUUUUGAAUUCAUAUUUUGUCAAUUGGUUUUGUGAGCACUGAGAAUACACUACGAGCUUGUGUGUGUGUACAAUAUGUUGGAUUUGAUCUUUAUAAAGAAUGCGAGAAAUUGGGGUUAGGAAAGAGAAGAAAAGGAAACAGAACUCGAACUUCGAUCUUCAUUCUUGUUACUAAAGGAGAAAACCGAAUUUGAACCGGUUCAUACGUAAUCGAACCGAAUUUGUAUAGUUCGGUUCACCCCUUAGUACCGAACCGUACCAUACCAAAAAAAAUUUCUUGAGUUUGGUUUUGAUACAUCCCUCAUACUGUACCAUACCAAAUCGUGGCCAGACCUACUGAAUACAAAACUUAUAUCUGGGUCGUAAGUCGUAAGGCCUCCAAAAAAAAAGUUCAUAUUAUUCAUACCAAUCGGACAAAUCCCGCACCCAAAAACAAUGGCUAGAUAGAAAGUUCAAUUAUAGAUUAGGUAAUCUAUCCUUUUCAACUUAAAUGCACAUUCAUGAUGGUUAUGCAAAUCAUAUUAUGUUAACAAAUGCAACAAUUAAUUAUAUUUAUCCAUUUGGAAUGAUAUAUAUUUUCAAAGAUGGAAUUACAGACCCCGUUGACGUUGAGGCCAUUGCAUGAGAGAAUUUUAGAUGAUUUUCAAUUAAUUUAUAUUAUUGUUGUGAUAACCAUAAUAAUUAUUUUCUAAAUGUAAAACUAUAUUAAUGAAAUUUUCUUUGUCGGUCAAAAGAAGAUGAAAAGAUAUCUUUAUCUUCUAUCACAACAAAAAAAUUAAGGAUAUUAAUGUAAUAGGCUAAUAGCGAUGGGGUGAAGAAAUGGAACUAUCCUAAAUAGGCAGUUGCUGGUUAUAUUGGAUCAGGUGGUCUGAAUGAUUGGAUAAUUAGCAAAUAAAAAGGUUCCAUUUUUCAUGGACCCUCAAGUGGAAAUAUGGGAUAAAAGAUGGCAUAUACCAUUUUAUCCAUUUGUGAUUGUACAUUUUGAUGGUUGUGAUUUCACCCGAUGGCGCGGCAAGUGUGGAUUGGGAUAAGGAUGGUUUUGGUCUAUCAUCAAAGAUGGUUUGAUGUUCACGACUGGAUUUUACAACGCAUCCAAGUGCAUGGGUUCUAUAAAUACAGAGUUGCGCACAAUAAAAAAGUACAAAGGACCUUCAAACCUUUCACACACUCUGAGAAACUCCUGAUUCUCCCAACUUCGUCAACACAUCUUCAAUUUGGAUUAACAUCACUGUUUGUCAGUGAGGAGUCCUUAGUCUUCUCGUCUCAUUAGCCCUCUAGGUGAAGUGAGGUGUUACUGAAUUACUUGAGUAUUCAGCACAUUGAAAGUCGAACCUUAUUUGAACUUCACAGUAGUUAGCAAUCUUAUCUUCAGGUUUUAGAACCCAAUGCCAAGACAUAUUCCUUCCUCGACAGUGAUGGUUUGUACACAAAAGUUGGUUUGUACACAUAAGUCAGUAUUGUGUUUGACACACCAUCCCAUUCAUUCUACUAGCCCACAAACGCGUGGACUCGUCCAAAAUUACCCCACUCUCGGCCCGUUCACUUGCCCACUCGUCCCACGCGGCCCGUGAGUCUUCAGUGCCUGAUAGGGGGGCCUACUGUUAGGGCCGUUGUUGGCCACAACCCAGAGCCCAACGAUUUUUUUUUGCAUCCCACGACUGGCAUUUUUGGACCGUUGGUUGAUCCAACGGUCCAGAUUCAAAUUUUGUUUUUUUAAAUGUUAUUUUAAAAUACAUUGAAUCCAACGGCUGAGAUCGAAUAUAAUCAAAUCUAACGGUAAAAUAAAAAAAGAUAAAAAAAGAUAUAACAGUCCAAAUUUAAAUCCAACAGCUAAAAUAAUUUUAAAAAAAAUUAUUUAACUCAAAAUUCACCCAAAAACUCUAUAAAUACCUUUGUAUUUGUUCAAACAUCCACACAAAACUCAAUUUUCUCCCACAAUUCUUCCAUUUUUUCUUUCUACCAUUUCUUUCCAUUUCCAAAUUGUUCAACACGAUCCUUGAAUUGGCCAUCCCAAGCAGUAAGACAAUUCUUCCACUCCCAAAGCAUACAAUCGAGACUUCCUAUCAUGUCAGGAAAGCCUAUUUUGUCUGCUUUGAGUAGAAUGUGACGACAUGUCCCGAAUUAUUAUAUAUUUUUCUCCCUAAGUGUGUAAAGUGACGGUAAUGCCCUCGUGAUUUAGUGACGUGGAUGUACAUAUGUAGUUUUAAAUUAUUAUUUCUAUUGUCGUAGUUAAAUUGUACUCGACGCCAUGAGUGUGUUGAUGUGACCUAGGGCUAAAACAAAUUCGUAACGAAGAAGUUACGAACAGACGAGUGUGUAAAUGCGUAGAAAUAUAUUUUUAUGGGUUGGCUAUACCUUACCCACCAAUCACCUUAAUUCCUGAUUUCUUUGGCCUAAUUGAAUUAAAAAUAUCUCUCAUUUUUCCUUCUGCCCAAUCACGCACAUACACACCAUCACUCUCUCUCUUCUCUCGGACCUUCUUCUUCUUUCUUCUCAUUCCGUACACCCGAGCCACCCUUACCUCACAAUCAUCAUCAAAACAUUAUGGAUCGAAUUGGAAAUCACUACCAUCGCAGUCACCUCGAUCCCACGAACUCAUUGAUACCCUUAGGUCGAGGAAUAGACGUCGGGAAUUCGAGAACUCGGGAGCUCUGGCGAGGUGUAUUUUUCUACUUUGUGAUCGUGGUCUUUUUCUAUGGUUUAAAGGCUUGAGGUGGGUCCUAAUCAACUUUAUAGGGACCCUAGAUUAGUUUUGGAGCAGUUUGAACGUUGGAAUAGGUGAGAACAUGGAGUUGCAGGUUGGCCGGUUGAUCCAAGCCUUACUCCGACCACUUUCUGUCGGUUUUAGAACCUCAAGUAGGUAAGAUUGUAUUCUUCUAGUUGAGAGUUUCAAAUCCAUAUAAAAUUCAUGGAAUUUGGUUGAAAAAUGAUGAAGAUAUUAAAGUUUUAAGAUUUUUCCAAAAAUCAGCGACACAAACGGCGCCCGACGGCCAGCGAUGGAUUCCGACAAAGCCAUCGGAGAAGGAGGAGAAUAUUAUGUCUAACUUUGACAGAAUAUACUAACAGCGUCAGGUAACUCUAUUAGUUUUUAAACAAAAUAUUCUACUAUUUAAUGAAAUAUUCCCUAACGCCGUUAGGGAUUCCGUGCCUGCACGUGCCGGCUUAUGAGGGCGCGUGAGACGUCAGGAAAUUAAUCUAAAAAUAUUGGGGUGUUCGAGUUGUUGAGUAGGUCAUGUUGGUAUAUUCAAACACCCUAUUUGAGCAACGUAUGAGAAGUUAUUCCUAGGGUUUGUGUAUGUGCCUUAAAAUUAAUGUAAAAUUAGUUAUUUCGCAUAUAGGUGAGACUUACCCGGAGGACAAACGUGGUCAAACGAGACUUGGGGGCUACGAUCCUACUACUUACCAGUGAGCGGGCUUUUUUUUUCUAUAUAUAUGUAAAUAUGCUUAUGAAUCCCAUAAACUACUUUAAAUGAACGUAUGUUUUAAAUGCCAUGUCGUGUGCAUUAUGUGUUAGUAUUGCAUUAGUAUAGCUAUGCAUAGUAUUGGAUGAGACUGCGCAGACUCAGGUAAGUUUCAGGUGAGUACAUCAUGAUGGUAUUGGGUGCGUGUGUGUGGUUAUACGUUGAUGCAUUUUGAGCUUAUUAUCCUGCACAUUGGUGUUAGUGUUCUCGCCCAUGGCCAGGGCAUAGUUUUUCACAUGAUGUUCACCUCCUGGGCCGCACGCUCACUUUGGAUCCAAGUUUGGUGCACAGCCAUAUUGCACAGACCACAAUAGGUGGUUCCGACUCGUAGGUGACCUGCAAUUAUUUGCACAGCCUUCACGUGAUCGUAGCACUUAAGCGUACUUAUCUACACCCAGCCCUGUUGUACAGACCACAAUAGGUGGUUCCGACUUAUGUGCAUGCAUACUUGAUGAGCUAUAGAUUCAAUUGUACAGGUUACAUUAGGUGACUCCGGUUGGCAUACUAUUUUAGGUUGAUUCGUAUCACCUGGCUUACACAUUUUAUGGUUGAACAUCUUGACAUGGCAUACCUCUGUUUUCACUGCUCUAAGCAUUAUCCUUAUGUACCUAGUUGUUAUUAUUUUCUGGAAAAUUAUAUGGGUUUACAGUGAGGGGUUAGUAUGUUCAUAAAGACAACUGUGUUUUCAAAAACUUUGUUUUUGCCUACUCACAUUUUUUGUUUUGCACCCUUUCAGGUUCUAGGUAGUUGGUCAUCCUUGGUGGCUCACGAGGACUUUCACGGCGGUUCUGACAUCUCUGUAAAUAAGUAGGGAUUUUUUUCCCUGUUUGUAUAAUUAGUACUUAGUUGGUUCGAUUGCACUUUCGUUUACCCAUGCUCUGAUAUUUGUAUAACUUGCUUGGUCAUCUUUACUCACUUAUAUUAUCUUAGUUUAGAUAAGUUUGGUUUUAGGUUUUUAUUUAUUCGCAUUUCUUUUAUUAUUACUUCUGUUGCGCAUUUUGGCUACGUUACUCUUACGUGACGGGCAUCAUGUUUCGACUUCGGUUGGGGUGUGUCAUAAAAGCCUCUUCAAGUCUUCAUGAUUUGGCUUGCAGAGAUAUGUGGCUCCAUAUGUGGCCUGAAUUGCCCCACAGAAGCGCUCCAGGUUUUUAAUAGCAGUAGUCUCCGCAAGUCGGCAAUACUCAUCAGUUGAGUUUGCAGAGCACUCAUUAGCUAGCAUCCGAAAUGCAGAUGUGAGCUUCUGAUGAGGUGAUAGACUUUGUCGGCCUACGACAUUUAUCUUCCUUGCAAAGUAGUGGUCAUGAUUGACAACUGUGUUCAAGAUGCUUUCAAAAAUCUCUCUCCUCAUUCGAAACCGUCUCCGAAAAUCAUGAGCAGGAAAUCUCGGACGCUCAAUAAAAUAAUAUUUCAUCAUUCGGUCAUGACACUCUUCUCUAUCACGUUGCACAAAUGAACGCUUCGUGACAUAACCACAAUAGCUAGAUUCGACAUGGUGCUCAUAUUGCAUAAGCGAGUUUGGAAGUUUAGCUUAUGCGUUGAUCAUUUUUGAAUCCUCAAUGUCAAGGCUUGCUUGGUAUUAUGUCAUUUGCAUUGCCCUGCUACACCUUCUUCUAUCAUCCAUUGUUGAUAUAUUGAGGAUUUUUAUGAAACAAAAACACUUUGAAAGUUGAAAGAUUAGUGAAUAUAGGGAAUGAUUGAAGGUUGAAAGAUUGUGUGACCAACUGAUAUUGAACAUGUGUUUAUAUAGAGGAUGAUUGAUGAAAGUUGAAAGUUUGGUGAAAGUUGAACGGUUGGUGAAAGUUGAAGAUUUGUGAAAGUUAAAGACUUGCUUUGUGGAAAGAUUUAGUGAUUUUUUCAAUAUUUAUUGGAAUUUAAAUAUUUUUAUAUUAAAAUGUUCAUAAAAUUAAUUUACCAUAGGCUACAUAAUUUUUUUUAAAAGUUAAUUUAAGAAAAAAAAUUAGCCUAAGUUCAUUCUUUAAUAAUCCCGAACUAAAAUUUUAGGCUAGGGUUGGAGCAGAAAAACUGUUUCUGUGUUAAAAGCUAAAUUUUUUAGAUUAAAAAUUUUAAAUUUUAACCCAAAGGUUGGAGAUGAUUUAAGAAUGGAUAAACUUAACCAAGAAAAGAAGAAAAAAGAUGAAGGGCAAAUAAGUGAGAAGCAACAUGACACGACACACGGACGACCAUAGCAAUAAAGCGUGCGUCCUCACGUCCAUUGAAUAUAUAGAUGGGAGCUACAACAUCGUGUUUCACGUGCAUGUGUAUUAUACAUAAAGGCAUAUACAGUGUUAGCUUAUAUAUUAUAAAGUUUGUAGGCCACUUACCCAAUUUGGCAUAUGUUUUAUCUUUUUACGUGAAUAACCAAUGUGUUAUGAUGAUACAAGUCUCUUAACAUAUCCGGAGUUAGAAAUAUCAUAAGACAGUGUUGCGAUCAUAUUGAAAUUAAUUGACAGUUUGUAUUAUAUAUUUGAUUAUUCUUUAUUAACUUAAGGAGACAGCAUACUUAGACCUAAUUUAGUCACAUUCUCCAACCGAAAAUAAAGCGGUGUAGUAUUCAUACACUUUUUUUUAUUUCUUACACAGUCUUAAUUAAUUUCUAUUGUUUGAUCUUCUUCAAUUCAUUCGAUCUGACGACCGAAAAUUAAGAUGGUGUGUGGACGAGUAAAUUAUAACAAUGGUCCCUCAACUUUAAUCAAAUUGGAGCAAGGGUGCUCAACUAAAAAUCCAUUACCAUUGGUUCCUCAACUCAUCAAAAUGUGUAGCUAUGGUCAUUUUCGUCAACUUCGUUACAAUUUUGUCAAAAUAAGUUAUAUUGGAAUGACUAUUGCUACAAUUGGGGUCCCUCAACUCAUCAAAACGUGUAGCUAUGGUCAUUUUCAUCAAUUUCGUUAGAAUUUUAUCAAAAUGAGUUUUGUUGGAAUGACCAUUGCUACAAUUGAAUUAAAGUUGAGGGACUAUUAUUUCAAUUGAGUUAAAGUUGAAAGAUCAUUUCUUCAGUUGUAUUAAAGUUGAAGGAUCAAUGGUAAUGAAUUUUUAGUUGAGGGGACUAUAGCUGCACGUUUUAAUGAGUUGAGAGAACAAUAAUAAUGAAUUUUUAGUUGAAAAACUAUUACUUCAAUUGAGUUAAAAUUAAGAAACAAUUGCUACAAUUUUUUUAUAUGGAAAGUGGAUGAUGUGAAUAGCACAUCCAAAAAUAAAAGGGAACUUUAACGAAAAGCACCCGGUACUGUUCACUUUAACGAAAAACCACAUUUUUACACUAAAAAGUCAAUCCUGGUACUAUUCACUUUACCCUUUAUUUUGUCCUUAUCAUUAAAACUCAAAGUUUUCAAGCCCUUUUCAUUAGUUUUCCUAAAAUAAAAUGCACCACAAUUUGGUAGGAUCUUCCUGUUGAGAGUAAUAAAUUAAUAAUUGCCGAAAUAUUGGAUAAUUUGUCGGCCACAACGCUAUGAGGGAGUAUCUGGGGAUGAAUAUACUCUUGCCGACAGAUGCCCAAAUUCCAACUGCCAUUCAAAUGAGCCCUCCACCACCACCGGCCAUAAUAAAUUCUCUUUCUUUAGUGAAGAAGAAAAAGAGGUACUUGGCCCUCACCUCAACUUUUUGAGAAAGAACAAGUUUAUCGCUAUCAGAAUGUUUCGGUCAAUUAUAUAAGUUAUGUGUAAAUUUUUCUUUAGAUAACAUUACAUUAUUAUAUUUAAAAUGUUCCGUAACGAUAAAUUUGUUUCAUACAAAUUAUUCUCCAACUUCUUGGAUUUUUCUCCUUUUUCCCGAAAACCAGCUUAUAUUAGUGUUCAUCCUCUGUCAAUAUCACUCGCCCACAACUAUUCAACUAACUUUUAAUAAUUUGACAACGUGUCAUAUUUUUGUGCAAAGCGGGCCCAUUUUUGUGGGUGAUAUAAUAAUGGCGUAUGUGGUUUGUCAAGACAUAUACUCAUUUAUCCAUUAGCAGUUAGGUAAGUCACCUCACUCACCCACAGCCUAACACAUCAACAAAUAUUGCUUACAAAUUCUAGAAAAUUCGACCAAGAAAAAAAACCAAAUGCUCGCAAAUUAAAAUUGUGUAACAUGAUUAGUUUUUUAUCCAUUAGUAUUAAUUUUACGUUGGAAGAAAUUCCAAAUUUAUUCUUGUAAAGAGGGAUAUGAAAAUACUUUGUAUGUCUAUCACCAAAAUCUUCGAAUGUUUGAAUGGUUGAUUUUCAAGUCUCACACAAUUGGAUUUAGUUCAAGUGAGAAAGAAAUACACUCAAACUAUUAGAUAUGAGGAAUGAAAAUACACUACAAAAUCUUGUGAACAUUUCUAAUAUUCUCUUCUAUCUACUUUUUGUGAACCAAGUUUUUAUUUGUUUUUUUUUUUAACAAAAGAUAUUUUUUAUACUAGGGAAAUAAGGUGGGUUUAGCCUCAUAAUGGGCUAACAUAAUCUAGUUCAAACUUGCAUUUGGUGAGAAUCGAACCUAAAAUCUCUCACUUACAAGUGAAGAGGAAUACCAUUAGAAGUGUCAUGAAAUUAGCAGUCUUAUAUGUAAAAAAUUGAUUGACUAAAUGCUGUGUUAAAAAACAAGAUUAAUACUUGCAUCUCCCCACUUGGAAAAUGCAAAUAUUUCAUUUCUUGCAAAUAACGUAUAUCAUGCGUUCUGUUCAAUCGCAUAUUCAAAAAUGUUAAAAACAAGAUUAAUAUUUCUAUCUCCCCACUUGGAAAAUGCAGUAUUUCAUUUUUUACGAAUAACGUAUAUCCUGUGUUCCGUCCAAUCGCGUAUUAAAAAAAUGUGUGAAGUUUGGAUUAACUACACUCUUUGAGAAUUUCCUUAAAUAACCACUUUUUGAAAAUUUCUUAUAGGACUAAGUGAGUCUCCGCUGAGAAUUUCCUUAACUAACACAACACUACUUGAGUGAUAAUUUGUUAUAUCUUGAAUAGAGAAUAAAUCAGUUCCCUACUUUUGAAGGUACUAUUAACUUACACUAUAUUUGAAUGAGAACAAUAAACUUAGAAUUUAGAUGAAGGAAAUAAAACAGUUUCCUACUUUUGAAGGUACUACUCGAGUGAUAAUUUGUUAUAUCUUGAUAACGUGUCAUAUUUUUUUGCUAAGCGGACCCAUUUUUGUGGGGUGGUAUAAUAAUGGCGUUUGUUGUUUGUCAAGGGCAUAUACCCAUUUAUCCAUUAGCAGUUAGGUCACCUCACUCACCCACAACCUAGUACAUCAACAAAUAUUGCUUACAAAUUCUAGAAAAUUCAACCAAGAGAAAGAAAACCAAAUGCUCGCAAAUUAAUCUGUGUAACAUUAGUUUUUAUCCAUUAGUAUUUAUUUUACAUUGGAAGAAAUUCCAAAUUUAAUCUCGUAAAGAGGGAUAUGAAAAUACUUUGUAUAUCUAUUAUCAAAAUCUUUGAAUGUUUGAAUGAUUGAUCAUCAAGUCUCACACGAUUGAAUUUAGUUCAAGUGAGGAAGAAAUACACACAAACUAUUAUAUAUGAGGAUUGAAAAAUACACUACAAAAUCUUGUGAUAACAUUUCUAAUAUUCCUUUCUAUCUACAUUUUGUGAUAAGUUUUUUUUUUCCUUUUUUGAACAAACUAUAUUUAUCUACAUUAAGGGAGAGGAGGUGAUCUUAGCCUCACAAUGGGCUAGCAUAAUGUGGUUCAAAUUCGCCUUUGGCGAUAAUCGAACCUAAAACUUAUCAUUUACAAGUAAAUAGGAAUACCACUAGAUGGAUCAUGAAAUUAGCAGUCUUAUAGGUAAAAAAAAAUUGAUCGACUAAAUGAUGUGUUAAAAAACAAGAUUAAUACUUGCAUCUCUCCACUUGAAAAAUGUAGAUAUUUCUGUGAACACGGAAAAUUCCUGAAACGAAAGAGACAAGAACAACGUGCACAAAAUAAUAUUUUGGUGUUAAUGGAUUUGUUGGGUUACGAUCUCUUUUAACUUGAUCCUCUGAUUCGAUCUCCGUAAGGUGUUGAUUUAUGGAUGUUUCGUUGAUCCAAGGGCUGUUGAGGCUUGAUCUUAGAUGAACUGUUGGAAGUUUCUUCAAGGGGCCGUGGGCUUGAUCUUUGAAGGUGGAUUUGAGCGGAUCUUCAAGGAGCCGUUGGGGCUUGAUCUUGAGGAUGAGUGUUUCUUCAAGGGCCGUUAAGGCUUGAUCUUGAAUAACGGUGAUGAACGGAUCUUCAAGGGCUUUUGGGCUUGAUCUUGAAGAACGGUUGGAUGUGUGGAUUUGUUGAUGUUGUUGAUCCAAGGGCCGUCGGAGCUUGAUCUUGGAAGAACGAUGAACGAAGAACGAAGAACACUUUCUUCAAAGGCCGUCGGGGCUUGAUCUUGAAUUGGUGAUUGUUGAUCCAAGGGCCGUCGGGGCUUGAUCUUGGAAGAACGAUGAACGAAGAACGAAGAACACUUUCUUCAAGGGCUGUCGGGGCUUGAUCUUGAAUUGGUGAUUGUUAAUCCAAGGGCCGUCGGGGCUUGAUCUUGAUUCUUCGGGAUGAACGGAUGAUGAACAAUGAACACUUUCUUCAAGGGCCGUCGGGGCUUGAUCUUGAAUUGGUGGAAGUUCUUCAAGGGCCUUUGGGGCUUGAUCUUGAAGGUGGAUGAUUGUUGAUCCAAGGGCCGUCGGGGCUUGAUCUUGGGAUGAACAGUUGUGUGGAUUUGUUGAACACUUUCUUCAAGGGCCGUCGAUGCUUGAUCUUGAAUUGGUGGAAGUUCUUCAAGGGCCGUUGGGGCUUGAUCUUGAAGGAGGAUUUGACGAAGAACGAAGAGGGCUUUCUUGAUCCUUCGGGAUUUGCUUGAAUUUGGGAGGUUGGAUGCUUGAAAGCUUUAGAGUUUCAAAGCUUCAAGGAUUUUGGAUGUGUGGGGAGUAUUCUCUUCCAUUUUGGGAGUAGAGAAAUGUAUUUGUGAAUUGGUUUUUGAUACCUUGAUGUAGAAGCCUAUUUAUAGGCUUUGAGAAUGAAUCACCACCACAAAAUAUUUUUUUUCUUUUCCAAGCACCAUUGCCUAAUUUCCCACUUAAUACAAUUUUAAACUUGAAGUGGUAAUUUUAUGGCCUAAUUUUCCACUUAAUAUCAUUUUAAACUUGAUAUGUGCAUGCUUUGUCAUUGCCCAAAAUGAGAAGAAAACCUUGUUUUGAUCUUCAAUGAAUUGAAAUGUGCUUGCCUUGUCAUUGCCCAAAAUGAGAAGAAAAACUUGUGUAAUCCUUCAAGGGUAUUUCUUUUUAUUUUGUUGAGUCGCACACCAUGUGUACAAUUUGUAUGACACGUGGCAUAUGCCAUGUACGCCUUGACACGUCAAAAUUUUAAUGCGUUGGUGAACAUUUAUUUCACCGCAAUUUCGGUGUCUACAAAUGCCCCCACUUCAAGGUGCGUCGUAUACAUGUGCUUGUCACGUGUAGGAGAUGCGUUUUGAAGUCCCUUACUGUAGAUGUCAAUCCAAUGGCCAUCGAGGCUUGAUCUUGAAUUGGGCUGGAGAUUUCUUCAAGGGCCGUUGAGGCUUGUUCUUGGACUUUGUUUGAAAUUUCUUCAAGGGCCAUCGAGGCUUGAUCUUGAAGGUUGAAAUUGGACCACAAGGAGCUUCAUGUGGUAGAUGAUCUUUGGCUUUGGUAGUGGAUGAAUCGGCACGUAUUUGUUUUUGCGCUUUGUUGACUUUCCACAGCUUUGAUCUUGAACUGGGUUGGAGGAUUUUUUGGAUUCCUCCAAUUGUUGAUUUUCCACAGUUUAUUCUUGAACUGGAUUUGAUUCAAAUAUGGUGGACGCUUGAUCUUGAAUCGGACUUGUGAUUUCCUCAAGGGCCGUCGAGGCUUGAUCUUGAAUUUGGCCGGAAACUUCUUCAAGGGCCGUUGAGGCUUGAUUCUUGAAGGUUGACUCGAACACAUGGCAAGCAGGCACGAGGUGAAGGUGACGACUUGUUGCUUUGUUCAAUCUUUCUAAUUCACACCUGAGCAGUUUGGUCAACGGUAUGAUCUUCAAGAUUGAUGGGCUCUUCUUCCAGUUGGUGAUUUGAUCUUUAAGGAUUUGAUUCAAGGGUGGUGAAACGGCACAUGCAGCCCACAACGCCUAGCAAGUCGACCCAAGAAUUUGAGGGUUAAAACGAGUCCUCCACCCAGAGUGAUUGCAAACCUGAUGAUAUGAGAUACUUUUGAUUUUGAAGAAGUAGCGGAUGAAUCGGCACGUGCUUUGUUGUGCUUGUCUCCACAUGCUUCAAUGUAUCAUUUUCCCUUGUCUUAUCUAUUCUUCUAGCAGAAUGUAGCAUCUUCUUAAGUUCUUCAACUCAGACUCCUUCUGCUGAGCUGACUGUGCAGGCUGCAUUAUUCUCUGCUUGUUUCUUUAGGCAGAUGUGGCAGCUUCUUGAGUUCCUCAGCUCGGACUCCUUCUGCUGAGCUGAUUGUGAAGACUGCAUUCUUAUCUGCUUGUUUCUUCUGUACGUUGUCUCCACAUGCUGCAAGGUAUCAUUUUCAAUUGCCUUAUUUGUUUUCCAGGCAAAUGUGGCAUCCGAGUUUGAGUGGAGGUUCUGGCAUAUUGUUUUCUUUAUCCUUGUCUUUGUAGGUAAGAACAAGGACAAAGGAAAGGACAGGGAGAACGCAUGAUAUGAUAUACUCUUGCUUUCUACCCUGGUGAUAUGAGAUACUUUUGCUUUGGUGUCAUUUGUUUGCAGAGGUACCCCAAGGAAUAAGAAACACUGAGUGACUCGAGAGGCUUUGUUGGGAAGGCAUUCUAGGAGAUGAAGAAAGGUUCUUGGAGAUGAAGAAAGGUUCUCGGAGAUGAAGAAAGGUUAUGUAUGUCUGCCUUGCUAUGGAGGGUAAAGGUGGACAGUUAUAGGAAAUUCUUUAGUACCUGUAGAGGUACUAUUCUUUUACUCGUGUCGGCAACCAAUGUGUGAUUGAUCAGUAUGGCUUCACGUGUUUUCUUCUUUAUCAGAAAUCUUCGACAAAUUGUCCGUAAUUUUCGUCAAGCUGAGUGUGCAUGUGACAGGUGUUGACGAGGCUGAAAAAGACUGGUGCCUCUUCGAUAUCUGGGAUCGGCGCUUCGACAAAUUGCCCGUGAUUUCCGCAAAGCUGAGUUUGCGCGUGACGGGUGCUGACGAGGCUGAAAAAGACUGGCGCCUCUUCGAUAUCUGGGAUUGGCGCUUUAACAAAUUGCCCAUGAUUUCUGCAAAGCUGAGUUUGCACGUGACGGGUGCUAACGCGUCUGGAAAAGCAAGAUGCUUCUCCGAUUUCUGAGCUUGCCUCUUUGAUUUUUGAAUUGGCCUCUUCGAAUUCUGAGCUCGCCUCUUCGAUCUUUGAAAUCCCAUCGAGUGUUGAUCUUUAUAGAGGCACGCAGUUCGUUUCAAAGCACACUUGAAUUUUCGCUUGUAGAAACUCCCUUCUUGCACUUCUAAGAUCUUGAUUUGUCCGACCUCUUCUUUCUUCAACACCUUUGAAAAUGUCUGGACCCUCCGACCGUCAUUUUGAUUUGAACCUUGGUGAAGAGGUAGUCCCGUCUUCUCCAGAUAACAUAUGACGCCCAUCUUUCAUAUCCCCUACUGGUCCUCUUACCGUUGGGGAUUCGGUGGUGAAGAAUGAUAUGACCGCUGCGGUGGUGGCCCGAAACCUUGUCACUCCCAGAGAUAACAGACUACUUUCCAAACGGUCUGAUGAGUUGGCUGUUAAGGAUUCUCUGGCUCUCAGUGUGCAGUGUGCAGGUUCUGUGUCUAAUAUGGCCCAACGCCUAUUUGCUCGAACCCGUCAAGUUGAAUCAUUGGCGGCUGAAGUGAUGAGUCUCAAACAGGAGAUAUUAGAGGGCUCAAGCAGAGAGAUAAACAGUUGCAUAAGCUCGCACAUAGCUAUGCGACAAACAUGAAGAGGAAGAUUAACCAGAUGCAGGAAUCUGAUGGUCAGAUUUUACUUGAUCAUCAGAGGUUUGUGGGUUUGUUCCAGCAGCAUUUGCCUUCGUCUUCUGGGGCUGUACCGCGUAAUGAAGCUCCAAAUGAUCAACCCUUGGCUCCUCUUCUUCCUGGAGUUCCGCCGAGUGGUGUGGCUUCAAACAGUCAACCUCCGACGCCUCUCAUUUCUGGAGCUCUGCUGAGUGGUGAGGUGGCACCUAAUCGUCCUUGAAGAUCCCCUCUUGUAAAUUUGAUUUGAUUUUUUUUUAAGUAUGUAUAAUGCAAAUUUAUGUAAAAUUUCCAGAAAAAAUAAAUAAAAACGGACUUUAUUUCUCUCAAUGCAUUUGUUUUGUUUUGUUUUUGUUUUUUUUGUUUUUUUGUUUUUGUUUUUUUUGUAAAUACAUAAUAACAUAUGUAUUUAUUUAUUUAUUCUUUUGUAAUAAAAUUGACUUUCUUUAAUAAAACUUUUAUAUUUUUCUUAUUUAUUUUGAUAUGACUGAACUCGAAAUUGAAUGUUCGAGCCGCCUACGUACCCUUCCAAAGAAGAGAUCAAGCCAUAACGUAGUUCAAAUGAGUGAUGAAUUUAAUAGUGAUUUUGAUGAUGAUUUUGCCGUACACAGUUUAUGCUCUUGUGGGCCAGGAGCUUUGGUGUUGCCUUUUAUGCUCGUGCAGACCAGGAGCGUUGAUGUCGCCUUUUAUGCUCGUGUGGGUCAGGAGCGUUGAUGUUGCCUUUUAUGCUCGUGCAGACCAGGAGCUUUGUGCCAUGCAGUUUAGACUCGUGCGGGCAAGGAGCUUUGGUUCGUGCAGUUUAGGCUCAUGCGAACAAGGAGCAUUGGUUCGUGCAGUUUAGGCUCGUGCGAACAAGGAGCAUUGGUGUUGCCUUUUAUGCUCGUGCAGACCAGGAGCUUUGUGCUAUGCAGUUUAGACUCGUGCGGGUGAGGAGAAUUUGUGAAUUUUGUCAAGCACUUUUGGAGAGGCGUUCCUUACAAUCUUCAUAGCAAGGAGCCUUGACCGAGUGAUUGAAGAAGUCUUCGGGAAAGAAGUCGCACAUCGUGAUGGCAACAGACGAUCUUUGUGUCGUAAUUUCAUCAUCUUCAACACGUUCACGUUGCUUUGAAGGUUGACAAGAGCUGCUUUGCCCCCUUUCCGAUUGGCGGACUUGUGGAGGAGACGUAUGCUUCUUGUGCCAUUUCUUAGGAGUGACUUGAGUCCAUCCUUCAAGUUUGCUUGUUUUGGAGGAUGCCCCCGGCGGUUGAGGUGAAAAUUUUGUGUUGAAAGAGCCAGAAGUGAUGGUGGUAUAGUUUGACUUCACCACAUCGUCAAGAUCUAGCUCGAUGAUUCCUUUCUGAGCCCACUUUAUGAUGAGAUCUUUCAGCACAAAGCACUUUUCUGUCGGAUGACUGAUGAAGCGGUGGAAUUUACAGUAUCUUGGACUGUUGGUACGAUUCAUCUCUUCCGGCCAUCUGCACUCAGGCAAACUGAUCACCUUCUUGUCCAACAGGUCAUCCAACAUGGCAACCACAUCAGAGUCAGGGAAUGGAUAAGUCUUCUCUUUAAGCUCCUUCAAAGUGCGUCUACGCAUCUCUUGAUCACGAAAAGCUUCGGUUUGAAUCGUUUUGCCUCGUGUGGAGAUUUUGACGGGAGAUGUGUUGACUGUCAUUGCUUCCUUGGUGGAUUUCCACGUAGCCUUCUCCACCUUUGUCUCAAGAAUUUUGUCGUUCUUGUAGUCGGCGAUCGGUUCCUUCUUCCCAUGAUGGGUGAUGCUCAACUCCAUGUCAUGGGCGUGGGUGGCCAAUUCCUCGAAGGUCCGUGGUUUAAUGCCUUGAAGGAUGUAUUGCAAACCUCAUUGCAUGCCUUGGAUGCACAUCUCGAUUGAAGAGGUCUCCGAGAGCCUAUCUUUGCAGUCGAGGCUUAGAGUGCGCCAUCUGUUGAUGUAGUCAAUGACCGGCUCAUCUUUCCAUUGCUUCAUACUUGUGAGCUCCAACAUGCUUACAGUGCGGCGGGUGUUGUAGAAGCGGUUGAGGAAUUCCCGCUCCAAUUGCUCCCAGCUGUUGAUGGACUCAGGCUCUAGGUCCGUGUACCACUCAAAUGCGUUUCUUUUCAGCGAGCGCAUAAACUGCUUGGCGAAGUAGUCCCCCUCCGUCCCCGCGUUGUUGCAAGUUUUGACGAAAUGUGCAACGUGCUGCUUUGGGUUUCCUUUUCCAUCAAACUGCAUGAACUUUGGUGGUUGAUAUCCCAUCGGCAUCUUUAGGGCAUCAAUCUUCUUUGAAUAAGGCUUUGAGUACAACCCGGAGGUAUUUGAGCUCCCUUCGUACUAUGCCUUGACGGUGCUGGCAAUCAUCUCUUGCAACUGUUGGAUAGAAAGAGAUCCCAUGAGUGCCGCUUCUUGGUCUGGCUCCGGCUUCACAUCGAUUUUCUCCACCGUAGGCUCAUCUUCUGGGUUAGGGUUCUCGCUGUCCUGUGGCUCCAGUUGACUGAUGAGUGCAGCGAUUUGCAAGUCUUUUUCUUCCACAGUUCGGGUUAGCCUUGCGAUUGCUUCAUUCAUUUGAGCCAGUUGUUCUUCGAUGGAGGUAACGCCGAUGGUCAUGACUUGUGCAACCAAUAGACGUGACUUUCCUUUAGACAUCCAAGAUGCUGAAGAAGAACGUCAUUGGUUGUUUUGGGAUGUCAUCUUGUGUGCCUCAGCAACAUGCUUUGGUGCCCCCAGCGAGGUCAGGUUGAUGACAGACUCACACCUUUGAUGCUCCCUUUGCUCUUUUAGCGGCACCAACUUUGAAGUGGCAUGUUAAGGAGCGGUUGUGGUGCUAAUGGAUUGUCCAUUUGCGGCAGAAGUGCUUAGGAUCCUUCCCUCAGUGAUUGCGAGAACGGCUUGUCCCUUGCUUGAUGCCAUUGAUUUUGAGGUGUGUUUGGAUUCCUUAAACGGAGAAAGAUAUGAGAGGUAGAGAUUGUCCCACCGGGCGUGCCAAUUUGUGAACACGAAAAUUUCCUGAAACGAAAGAGACAAGAACAACGUGCACAAAAUAAUAUUUUGGUGUUAAUGGAUUUGUUGGGUUACGAUCUCUUUUAACUUGAUCCUCUGAUUCGAUCUCCGUAAGGUGUUGAUUUAUGGAUGUUUCGUUGAUCUAAGGGCCGUCGAGGCUUGAUCUUGGAUGAACUGUUGGAAGUUUCUUCAAGGGGCCGUGGGCUUGAUCUUUGAAGGUGGAUUUGAGCGGAUCUUCAAGGAGCCGUUGGGGCUUGAUCUUGAGGAUGAGUGUUUCUUCAAGGGCCGUUAAGGCUUGAUCUUGAAUAACGGUGAUGAACGGAUCUUCAAGGGCUUUUGGGCUUGAUCUUGAAGAACGGUUGGAUGUGUGGAUUUGUUGAUGUUGUUGAUCCAAGGGCCGUCGGGGCUUGAUCUUGGAAGAACGAUGAACGAAGAACGAAGAACACUUUCUUCAAAGGCCGUCGGGGCUUGAUCUUGAAUUGGUGAUUGUUGAUCCAAGGGCCGUCGGGGCUUGAUCUUGGAAGAACGGUGAACGAAGAAUGAAGAACGAAGAACACUUUCUUCAAGGGCCGUCGGGGCUUGAUCUUGAAUUGGUGAUUGUUAAUCAAAGGGCCGUCGGGGCUUGAUCUUGGAAGAACGAUGAACGAAGAACGAAGAAGGCUUUCUUGAUUCUUCGGGAUGAACGGAUGAUGAACAAUGAACACUUUCUUCAAGGGCCAUCGGGGCUUGAUCUUGAAUUGGUGGAAGUUCUUCAGGGCCUUUGGGGCUUGAUCUUGAAGGUGGAUGAUUGUUGAUCCAAGGGCCGUCGGGGCUUGAUCUUGGGAUGAACAGUUGUGUGGAUUUGUUGAACACUUUCUUCAAGGGCCGUCGAUGCUUGAUCUUGAAUUGGUGGAAGUUCGUCAAGGGCCGUUGGGGCUUGAUCUUGAAGAAGGAUUUGACGAAGAACGAAGAGAGCUUUCUUGAUCCUUCGGAAUUUGCUUGAAUUUGGGAGGUUGGAUGCUUGAAAGCUUUAGAGUUUCAAAGCUUCAAGGAUUUUGGAUGUGUGGGGAGUAUUCUCUUACAUUUUGGGAGUAGAGAAAUGUAUUUGUGAAUUGGUUUUUGAUACCUUGAUGUAGAAGCCUAUUUAUAGGCUUUGAGAAUGAAUCACCACCACAAAAUAUUUUUUUCUUUUCCAAGCACCAUUGCCUAAUUUCCCACUUAAUACAAUUUUAAACUUGAAGUGGUAAUUUUAUGGCCUAAUUUUCCACUUAAUAUCAUUUUAAACUUGAUAUGUGCAUGCUUUGUCAUUGCCCAAAAUGAGAAGAAAACCUUGUUUUGAUCUUCAAUGGAUUGAAAUGUGCUUUGCCUUGUCAUUGCCCAAAAUGAGAAGAAAAACUUGUGUAAUCCUCCAAGGGUAUUUCUUUUUAUUUUGUUGAGUCACACACCAUGUGUACAAUUUGUAUGACACGUGGCAUAUGCCAUAUAUGCCUUGACACGUCAAAAUUUUAAUGCGUUGGUGAACAUUUAUUUCACCGCAAUUUCGAUGUCUACAAUUUCAUUUCUUGUGAAUAAUGUUUAUCCUGUGUUCUGUCCAAUCGCGUAUUAAAAAAUGUGUGAAGUUUGGAUUAACCACACUCUUUUAGAAUUUCCUUUAUUUACCACUUUUUGAGAAUUUCCAAUAAGACUGGGUGAGUCUCCGCUGAGAAUUUCCUCAACUAACACCACACUACUUGAGGGAUAAUUUGUUAUAUCUUUGAAUAAAGAAUAAAACAGUUUCCUACUUUUGAAGGUACUAUUAACUUACACUAUAUUUGGAUGAAGGUCAAACUUUAUAAAUUGACAUACACCAAAUUCUUUGUUUGGAUUCAUAAACAUAUAAAUUUAGAAUUUCCGCGUGGAAAAAAAAAAUACUUAGAAUUUGAGACCUCCAAUUCUCAAAUUGAAAGUUUAAAAAUAAUAAAUUCCGUAUUCAAUUCAAUUGUUCUUUUAGGUUAACCAAAUAAGAAAAUUCACAAAUUCUAAAAUAUAAAAUCUCAUCAUUUCAAUUUCCGUCAUUUUAAAAUUCCUUAGUAAUAUUAAAUUUCUUCAUCCAAACAUAGUGUUAAGAAAUUUUUUAAAGAUACACUAUUUACACUCAUUUUUAUUUCUUACACAUUUAUUAACUUUGUCCAUUGAUUUCUUCAAUUCAUUUUGCCAGUUAUACAAAAAUUGAGAACAGUAUUUAUGAAUUAAAAAUACAUUUGUAGAUGUCACUACCAAAUUUUUAUUCCUAAUUCAAGAAAAUCUUAUCCAUAUAUGAUUGCCCUUGCCCACUUUAAAUGGGUGCCAUCACUUUACGAUAGAGCAAUCCUAACCGUCCACCUAGGUAAGCAUAACUGGCGAUGCAUGUCGCAAGGGGACCGCAUUGCACAAUAUAAUUAUACUAGUUGAUAAGACAAGUGAUGUCAAUCAAUAAAUUAUUUCAUUAAAACUUAGUUGUAUGUAUCAUAUGUUGUAAUGUAGGGUGUAUGAUAUGCUGACGCUGUAAAAAAAUGUAACCUUUUUAAUAUUACUCAUAAUAGUAAGACUUACCAGUAUUAGGAUGUUAUCAGUGGAAUGAGAAUCCUCUCCAGAUCUUUUUUGUGAGCUAUUAUUUGUAUUUAAUUUUAAAUAUAAAAAAUUAAAAUAAUUUAUGACGGCAGUGAUUCACAUGAUCUUCACAAAGAGAAUCCAAAUAAUCUUAAUUUAUAUCAGUGUGUCUAGAUAACAUGAUCGAGCCCCUUUACUUUUACCCUAUUUAGUAUUUUACAUUUGAACCUGUAAAUAUUCGAUUUUUCUUUGGUGCAACCGAGCACCAAAUAUAGAUUUUUUUUCACUUUUAUAUAAUGAUAAAUAAAGGGCAAUUGGCAGAUUUGAAUUCCAUUCGGAUUGGUCAAAAAUCAUUUUAAAUUGUUUUAUUUAAAAUUAAACACAUAUAGUACUUAAUAAAAAUUAGUCGUACAAUAUACGAUAAACAGAUAUAAUGUAAGGACCUUUAUGAUCUUCACAAAAAAGAUCCAAAGGUUGUGUAGCUGUUUCAAAAGGAUAAUACUCACUUUUGAUUAGUUCAAUGAAAUUUUAAACAUGUUUUAUUGUUUUAAAAAAUAAUAAACAUAUUUAUUAAUGUUUGUUUUACUUUAAAAAAUAAGCAGCACUUGACAACAUUUGAUUGUGCUAAAUAAAAAAUGAGUGACCACUUAGUACUACAGUCUUAUGAUAUUUUUCUUCAUUUGAAAGUGAGAGGUUUUAAGUUCGAAUCUCGUGGAUGACGAAUUUGAUAUCAAAUUAGAUUGCUCACUAUGUGGCUUAGCCGAACUCUCAUUUCCUUUAAUGUAAAAAUAUUGAUGUAUUCAAAAAAAUAAAAAGUGACUAUAGAGGACACUCAAUCUCAGCUGUAUGAUUAAAUCAGACGGUAAGAAAAAUUCUGCAAGCAUACUCGGUUACAUUAAUUGAAGAAAAAAUGGGUAAAUAUUGGGCACCAACGUUAUAAAUACCCUCCACCAUGCACCCAACUCCCUCACACCAUCACAACCCACGUUACAAAUCCUCCUCCUCAUCAUAACCAUUCUGUUUUCCGCAUAAUAUCCAAAAACCUAUCAUGUCUGAAGAGAAACACCACCGCGGUCUCUUCCACCACCACAAGGAUGAAGACAAACCCUCAGACUACCCUCAGUCUGGCUACUCUGAUGAAGGACGUCCCGGCGGCCUCGGUGGUGGUUACGGCGACACCAAUGAUUAUUCUGGUGAAGGACGUACCGGCGGCCUAGGUGGUGGCUAUGGCGACACCAAUGCUUAUUCUGGUGAAGGACGUCCCGGCGGCUAUGGCGGCUAUAACGAGACCACUGCUUACUCUGAGGAAAGAGUUGAAAGACCCGGCGGUGGCCGGUACAGUGAGACUACUGCGGCAUAUGGCAGCACCACCACUCAUGAAUCUGAACUUGAUUACAAGAAGGAGGAGAAGCACCACAAGCAUCUCGAGCACCUCGGCGAGGCCGGUGUAGCUGCUGCCGGCGCUUUUGCCUUGGUACGUAUUGUAUUUUAACCCACCUCUAUAUAUAUAUAUAUUAGAAUAAUGCUAAUAAGACCAAAUUUUGAAAACUAAAUGAUGUGGUUGUUGAUAAUGAACUUAUUACUCAAGUCUUGAUUAACAUGCUUAUUUUCUAAUAGUGACACAUUAUUUGGUUUAGAAAUUUGGUCUUCCUAACUUUAUCAUUCUCAAAAUUUUCAUGAUUUUGAUAGGGUAAUACGGGAGAUCAAAAUUUCUAAACCAAAUUUGCAAACCAAUAGAUGAUUGGAUUAUUAAUUAAGUAUCGAUUGUUUGUUUCUUAUUAACGACAUAUCAUUUGAUUUACAAUUUAGUUAAAAAAAAUUUAUUCUUUCUGUCAUAUCCUUUUGAAUAUUUGAUCACUUUACUCUUUAUCACUUUACCCUUGAUCACUUUACCCAUACUCUUGCAACCGAAUCACCGUCCUCCUCCUUAACCUUCAUUUUUUUGUCUUACAGUACUCCAAUCUAUCAACUCUGUCCAUUGCAACUUUAAUUGUGAAGAAAAUUAAAGUCCUAUCGUAAAAUUAAUUAGUGAUAUGGAGAGUUGCGCAAUUAUUGAUGGACUAGGUAGGUAAGAUACGGAAUCAAAGUCUACCAUUAACAAUGGACGGAAUUGAUGAACCAUAUAGGUAUGUAAGAUACGGAAUCAAAGUCCUCAUGUAAAUGGUACAGUUGCAAUCAGGAGAAGAAAUGAGUUAACUGAUACCUUCGUAAUAGUUCAUGUAGAGUUUUGAUAUUAUUAAGCCUUAACCACCUGAUCUUAUAUAUACGAGGACAAAUCUAAUCAAAUAUGUGUUAAUUUCAAGGUUUGUUUUACAUUGAUGUGAGAUCGAUGCUAGCAAGAUAUAUAACUUAUGUCAGUUUCUAUAUGAUGUGUGUAGCAUGAGAAGCACAAUGAAAAGAAAGACCCAGAGCAUGCCCACAGGCACAAGAUAGAAGAGGAGAUUGCUGCAGCAGCUGCAGUUGGUUCGGGUGGAUUUGCCUUCCAUGAGCAUCAUGAGAAGAAAGAGACAAAGGAAGAAGAGGAAGAGGCUUAUGGAAAGAAGAAGCACCACCACUUCUAGAUCUAUGUGGAUUGUGGAACAUCAUCUUUUGACUACAUAUGCAAUGUUGUGUUUUUACUAGUUAUCAUGUGGUGUGAUCAGUGAGAGUGUGAUGCUUAAUCUCAACAAUAUCGCUACAAUAGUUGAGUGGUUAAAUGUCCUUUUCAAUUAAUGGGUGCUAUCUGGUUUUCUUUUAGCAUGCCAUCUAUGUAUGUAUGUAUGUAUGUAUGUCAUUGUUAUUGUUCAUAAUAAUACUGUUUACUCGGUGUUUAUUUCCUAGUGGCCACAUCUCAUUUUAAAUGAUUUCUUCAUACCAUUAAUUUUUUAAAUGUAAAGACUCAGUAUCCAUAUAACUACGAAAAUUUUUGACAAAACAAAAACAAGAAAAAAGAAAAGGAAAAAAUGGCUUAGCAAGUUUGUAUCCUAUAAGACAAAUGGGUACGUGGAACGAUGGACAUCUCACAAUGGUUUUUGAAUCGUCGGAUCAUCAUGGUUGGACUAUAUAAUUAUCAUUGAUAUAAUAUAAAUUUUGAUUUUUUUUUAGGAAAUUAAUAUCUGAAAACAAUAUUGAUGUACUGCAUUUGUUUUGGACGAUAUUAUACUUUAAUCCAAAUUUUGAGAAAAAAAAAACAUAUCGAACUCAGGUGUACAAGAGUGGCUUUGCUACCCAUGUACAGGGCUAGUUCUGAGUUUUUGGGUGCCCAGUGCGAAAGCUCAAAAUGUGACAUUUUUUAAUACGAAAACAUAUAUUAAAAAAAAUAUUUAAUGAGGGCUGGAACCCAGUCGAAGCUGGAGGGCUAGGACCUCACGCCCAAAUUAUAUUACUUGAGAAAAUAUACAACUGAGGAGGGGACAUGGUACCUAAACCCCGACAAUCAAAAGUACAAUCAUAUACAACCACUCCUAGCAAAUCUCCUUCAAAUUUCAACCUUUAAGAAAUUGUCUUCUGGCAUUUUUUGAAGCAAAAUCAUCAAUUAUAUCAUCAUACUCCAAGUCUUCAAUCUCAUCAUUUUCAAUGCAUAAGAUUGCUAAUCCAUUUAGCCUAUCUUGAGUCAUAGUGGUCCGCAAGUAAGAUUUUAAUAAUUUCAAUUUUGAAAAACUUCUUUUUGCAGAUGCCAUGGUCACAAGUACAGUUAACAGUACACGAUAAGCAAUCAAGACAUUAGGACACAUGUCAGUUUCUUUUACAAAAUUUGCUAUUUCCAUGGAUGUCCAAGGGUUAUUAGAGAGAAAUGCUUCUUCAGGUAAUAUCAUUUGCAAAACCUGCAAUUCGGAAUAUAAGUCAACUCCAUCUACAUCCAUGGUAUUUCCAUGUUUCAAAUGUGCUUCAAGAUUCAUACAAUUUUCUUUUAGCUCUUGAUCAUCCAAUGAAAUUAACUUUGGUGCAUCAAACAAGAAGCCAAAAAUAGAUUCAAAGGAUUUUAACUGUUCAAACUUGUGUUUCAGUUGAGAAAGAGCAAUAUCCACUAUAACAAGAAAAUAAUAUUUCCUAAAUGAUUCUUUAGCAGAUUAUUGUUCCCUCUCAUUACCAUCAACUUCAUCAUGAUGUCUUUUUCUAGGUCUAUGACAUUUAGUUUGAAAAAACAGGGUCAAUUUCCAAAUCAAGUGCAAUUUCAUUAGCAUCACUCAUGGCGGAAGCAAAACCAGUUUCUCUGUAGUUUCCAAAAAAUGUAACAAAUGCUUCAAAUGCCUUUACAGCAACAUCAAGACGCAUGUCUUUAGAUUGUAAUUUUAUGCUCACCAUGUUAAUCUUCAACAAAAUGUCAUACUAAAUAACCAAACUUAAUACAAAAUCAAAACUUGAAAGUUCGCCUGAUGCUAAACAUCUUGCAUCCCUACUUAAUUGAGGAUUUUCAGUAAUUUCCACCAAUUAAACAAAGCAUUUCUAACCUGGGCUACUUGAGACUUAAUUGCUUUAACAUUUUCAAUGUGACUUUCCCAUCGAGUAGUUGACAAUGACUUCAAAGUUAAACCAUCAAUAUGUUCAACCAAAAUAUUCCAACGCUUUGUAGAGUUGGAAAACACCAUAUAUAUGCAUUGACAUGCUCUAAAAAAAGAUUUUGCUUUAAGACAUGAACUUGCCAUAUCACAAACUAUUAAAUUAAGCUAAUGAAAACCACAUGGCAUGUAAAAGGCUAUGGGAUUUAUGUCUAACAAUCUUUUCUGGACAACUUGGUGUUUCCCUCUCAUGUUAGAUCCAUUAUCAUAACCCUGUCCCCUCAUAUCAUCAAUAUCAAGGUCUAAAAUAUCGAUAUUAUCCCGAUAUUUCUUUCGAAAUUUCUGUGUUUUUGGAUUACCGAUAUUUCCGAUAUCAUCGAUAUUUUAGACCUUGAUAGGAACUCUAUGUGAUACUAAGUCACUCAUGUAUCUUACCAUGCAAUGUAUAAAGUGUAAAAUAUUGUAUUAAUUCAUUAUAUAUAAAUGAUUAUGGUGUGUUUAACUUCUUUCAUUAAUUACUACAUAUUUUCUACACUCAAAAUGUUUGUCAGCUCACUAUAUAAUCAACUUAAAUAAGUUAAAUCCAUCAUGAAAUGCAUUUCGUUCCAAUUUUUUGUAAUAAACUAGUAGAUAAUUGACUAAAUAAACAUCCUGCAAAGUUUCAAUAAAAAUUUCCAAGUUUUUCUUAUAAUUUCCGUGGUUUUUAUUCAAUUUUUAUCGAUAUCGAUAAUAUCCCGAUAUUUCCAUCAAAAUUUCCGUAUUUUUGGACUAUCAAUAUUUUCGAUAUCAUUGAUAUUUUAGACCUUGAUCAAUAUCAAGAUCAAGAGAUUUUAGGACAUCUUGCAGCUCGUUAAAAAGCCCUUGUCCUAAUGUAUCUUUCACACUUAAAAACUCCAUGAAAUACUCCCUUAUAUUUAUUGACCUACUUGACAAGUCAACACAUCACAAAAUUAAAGUCAUCUGUUCCACAUGACUUGCAUUAGGAGUACAAUCAAGAAUGACAAAAAAAAAUUUGGCUUCUUUUACUUUUUUAAUGAUUGCGGUUUUGACUUUUGAAGCUAAAGUAGCUAUCAACUCAUUUUUGUUGGAAAUGUGCCCUAAAACCAAUCAUAUGAUGAUACUUUACGAACGUUUCACAUGUUAAACUAAUAUAGUUUAAUAUAAAGGGCAAAAAUUAUUGUUUGUAGCCGUCUCAUAUAAAUGUUAUACGCUUAAACGAUAAGUCCAAGGAAUAUGUAAUUGGGAGAAUGCGAUCUAAAGAAGUUAGAUUCAUGAGACCAUUCUCUUCCGUAUACAUAUCCUAAACGUUACUGAUCAUAGGAUUGUCAAUUGGGCAUUGAUAGUCUGUUAAGAUCAGUACGUGUUAUGUCUUCUCUUAAGGAGAGUGACUGGUCUCGAGUCAUUGGUGUGACUGACACCAAGACAAGCAUGUAGGUGCUCAAUAGAGAAUGAGUCCACUGAACACGAUCAACAAGGAGUUCUCAUACUCAUGUCACAUGAGAACUCGUGGUUGGAAUAAUGCAAAGUAGUCAUUUGACCUGAGGCAUCAUAGUUGUCUUGUGGUUAGGUCCUUGAUCUUUGACUAUGUCAAAGUCACUCCGUCAGAGGGUGUCCAUUGCAUAGUUGGGGUUAAGCCACUUAGCCAUGGAGGCAAGUGAAUGCACAAUAAGGGAUCUCUAACCUUCAAACUAUUUGAGGGAGAAUACUCUAUGAUAUGAUUAAGAAUCUCUGGCCAGAGUAUGAAUGAUAUUUAAGAAGUCGUUCCAAAUCACAUUCAAGGUAAUCAUAUAAGUAAGAGAAUCACAUUGGAUAGUAGACAUGAAUAAACUAUCAAACCAAACAAUGUGGUCAAGAGUAUUGUAUUAGAGUAAGACCGUAUUGCAUUGUAAUCCUAAACUAAAUAGGUUCUCCACCUCUUCUGAUCAGCUUGGGUAACCAUGACAUACUGCUAGGUGUUACUCAUGAUUUGUGGAAGCCCUAAACGUGUAUAAUCACUAAAGGGAGAAUUGAAAGUAAGUUUCAAUUUACAAUCGAUUUGAAAGAGUUCUAAUCGCUCACUGCCUCGCUAAAAGGAACCUAAUGGAUCGUACACCGUGUAAGGUAGAGAUUGAAAAAACAACGGAGAUAAGUAAGGACAAUUAAAUGGUUUAAUUGUUUAUGACAAGAAUUAAUUAAUAUGUUAAUUAAUCAAACGAAUAAGUUCGGGUUAAACCUUGAGUUAGUUUUGGGCAUUAAAGCCCAAAUUGGGCUUCGAAUCUUCAAACCCAUUAGCUUAAGUUGUAUGACAACUUAACAAACAAAAUUCAAGAAGCCCAAAACAGCCCAAAGGCUUGGGAAAACCAGCCAUAUAGAGAGGGGUAGUGAACUUGGCUUAAUUGCAAGUUUGCCAUUCCAUUGUGAGGUGGUAUAAAGGCAACUUUAUAGCCAUUUCAUCCUUAGGGUUUCUUUUGGAGAAAAGAUGAGAACACAAGCUCCCUUUUCUCUCUAAGAGGCUGGCCACCCUAGAGGAUUUUAGCUAGCAAUCUUACUUCCUCUAGGUCACUCAUCUCUUCUUCAAGUCAUUCCUUGGUGUGGAGACUUAGAGGUUCCUUUCAACCAUCUUCAUCCAAGAAAUCCAUGGAGCUAAGAAGCAAGGAAUGAAGGCCCUCGCCUUGGGUGAUUAGCCUUUGCUUAUGCAAAGAGGAAUCAACAAAGGUAUAAAAUUUCUCAACUCACUUUGUUCUUGAGUUGAGUCUUGGUUCACAUAACUACUAGGCUUUGAAUUUCAUGGGUAAUGUUUUGUUUUGAGUGCAUACAAGCAUGAUUCCGCCUUUAAUUGUUAAUUGCAUGCCAUAGAUGUUGCUCAAAUGAACAUGUUUCUCACAAAAUUUCCUUCAAUUUUGAAUUUUAUGGCUCAAAUAGUGAUGAUGAAUCUCUUUAUUCUCAAUAAGUCGAAAAUGCUAUUGCAUUAUUGGAUCAAACUCCGCAUUCAUUUCAAGUAAACCUAAGAAGUUGCCAUUAGAGUCUUCAUAAAGUCUUUCAUUUGUUCCACGAAAUGCUAAAUUACGUAUGGCAAGACAUUUCAUAACAUCAAUAAUUCUAAGCAUCACUUGUUUCCAAUGAUUUGGCUCUUUCUUGAUUUGCAUUUGAAAUUCUUUGUCAAUUGUCUGAUUUUUUGUCAAUCUACUUUUCAACUCAACCCAAGUUCUCGAAUUAAUGAGAUGCUCUUUACUCUUUUCAUAUUGGUCAAGCUUCUUACCAAGAUGUCUCCAAUCACUAGUUCCAUCUUUUGCUAACUCACUUUUUGAGGCAAUUAUUUUAAACAAUUUACAACAAAAGCAAAAGACUUUAUCCAACUCUUUUGAGUACACGAGCCAUUUCCUAUCGUAAAUUUUACCCGUUCGUAAUUUUCGAUCAUAGUAGUGUGAGGAAAAUUUUCUAGAGAAUUUGUCCUUAGGAUAAGUGAAUUAGUUUCUCAAAUUGGUCCUUUUUCUACAAGUAAGUCUCUCAUUUUUGCAUUAAGACCAUCCCAAACUAUUGGAUCAUAAAUGUCUAAAUGAAAAAUAGGUUCAAGAGAUUCAAUAUUUUCUUCUACACCAAAAUGAUCAUCAUCAACAUUUAAAUCCACAUCACCACCAUUUUCAUGAUCUUGAGACUCAUCACCAACAUUUUCCUCUAAAUCACCACAAUUUUCUUGGUCAUGAGACUCGUCAUUAACAUCUUUCUCCACAUAACCACAAAUUUCAUCAUCAUGAGACUCCCCAACAAUAUUUUGUGACUCUUCACCAACAUCAUUUUCUCUCAAAUUUUCAACCGACUCAUUCUUUAUAGAAUUUUUUUUAUUAAGAGAUCCUCUUAAACUUUAGGCAAUUUCGUUAUCCUUUGCCUUUUUUUUCCUUUUCAUAUUACUAGAGAGUUAUUUUCUAAAAGACAUGGCUUUGAUAAUUUGUUUGCAAAAAUUACCUACAUAUGAUAUAACAAAAAUUUCCUAUUAAAAUUAUCAUCAACAAUUCAAAAAUUACCUACACAUGAUAAUCAAGAAUUCAAUUCAUCAACAACAACAAUUCUAUACAUCAAUUAUCAUAUAAUUCUGUCACUUGCAAAAUUUAUAUUAAAUUAUGAAUUAAUAAUUCAAAUUAAAAAAUUAGUUUACCUCAAAACUCAAAAGGGUUGUUGAAUGCAAGGACUUGUGGGCCUGUGGCUGUCGGGUUUGGAAGCUGUAGCCUGCAGCAGCGCAACAAAUUAUCAGACGGUAAGGGCUAGGGCAGUGGGGUAACAAUGGGGUGGGGAAUCGGGAAAAAGGGGAACUUAGGGUUAAUUGGGGGGGGGGGGGGCGGGGACGAGUGGUCCCCUUGUGUUGUUAUUUUUUAUUUUUUUAAUGGCCAAAACCUGGGCUGGUCUUUUUUUUUUAAUUUUUUUAUUAUUUAUAAAUGCCCAAAACCUGGGCCGUUCCCUUCAUUUUCAAACUUGGGCCUCUUGCCCUCUAGUUCUUAUUUUGGGCUCUGGACAAAUUUUUUUUAUACCUAAUUAUUUGGACUUUUUUUUUGGUGCCCCUUUCAAUUUUGGGCCUUGGAAUGGCCCUGGUUGCACUGGGCCUGGGCCGGGCCUGCCCAUGUAUAUGUUAUCUUGUGAUUUGACAAGUCAUAUGUAUAUCAUAUCAAUUUUAUCUCAAUUGUGGUGAUGGUACAUAAUACUUACUACAUCGUAUGGCAACAAAUAAAUAUGGGCAUAAAGAUAAAUAGAAUGGUAUCAGUAAAUUAAGGUCUUCACAUUACGAUUAUAUUUAUCUCUAUUUUUAGUGGAAAGUUUUAAGGAUAAUUUUUUUUCUGCCUCCUACAUGGGUCUCGAUUCUCCUCUACGGUAAAAAUCCGUAUGUUUUAAAUAUUGAAAAGUUAAUUUAGCCCAAAUCCUUGCCUAUUUUAGGGAAAAUAAAAAAAAUUCAUUUUUAACCCUUUGAUUACUUAUAUCACCUAGUAUAACCUUUUUUUUUGUGUGAUACAAACAAAUAUUUUUGUUUGGGCCCAAAAUAUUAUUUUAGGCUGAGCUUAGGUCAUUCUCGGCCUAGUGGCAUUCAUUUAGAAUUUUGUUAUGGGCCGUCCAGUUAAGGUCAGCCGAAUCCUAUUAUGAAAAGGUUUGGUUUGGAUAAGGGUGAGUUGGUCGAUACUAGUGCAACAAGGAUUCUGAAGACUAAGGACAUUGAGAAUUAAAGGGUGAAUUUGGUUUGUUAAGAAGCUUGGUUCAAAGUCCUACAGGAAUUAGGAUUGGUUGAAACCUGAUCGGAUUGGGUUGAGGAGUUCUAAUCCUAGUCCAUUUCUAGUUCGGCUAUGAGGGGAUUCAUUAUUAUAAAUAGAGAAGGGAGUGCAUCAUUCAAAGCCCCUCCAAUUCAACACACAAAUUGCCUUGUGCAAAGCUUCUCAACAACCUUUGAGAUUUUAUCCACUUCCUCUUUCUUUUGCCAACACAUCUUCAGUUUGGAUAAAUAGCACUGUGAAGGCAACCGUCGACAUCUUCAGUUUGGAUAGACUGCACUAGAGCCGUAAAAUUAGCCGACCAAGGAGCACCUUUAGUUUGGAUGGACAACACUGCUUUGAGGCCGACUGGCUAUUUAUUCAAGUCUCGGCUGAGAAGGAUUUUCAAAUCCUUGUUGGUAGAGGUCAUCUCGUCAGCCUUCUCGGCAAAGUGAGGUGUUACAGGUUUCUGGGCUCGGCACAUUGAACGUUGAGUUUUGUUUUAUGAUUAGAUACUCACAAGUAAGUUUUAGAGUUUGGCAUUCCGAUGGCCGAAUCACAUUUACAAUCAAGAUAUAUAUUUCUUUCGAGUAUUUGUGUCUGUAUAGUUUGGUACCAGUUCGGCAUGCUUAUACUCUCACGAAUAUAAUCACUAUGAUCGAACCUGAUGCCGAUGAUUUGUGAACUUCAUAGAACUAGCAACCUUGUCUUCAGGCAUUAUAAUCCAAAGGCCGAGACAUGUUCCUUCAUCGAUCGCAGUCGUAAGAUCGAGAAGUCAGCAGCGCGCCCAACGAGACAUCAACACAUUCUAUUCCUCGACCGAGUUGGCACGCCCUGCACAUAACUGAAGGACGUAGUUAGCUUAUUAGUUACUCAGCCUAUGCGUCACGUAGGCUUCAUAGUUUUUAGUGUCAACAUUUUGGCAUGCCCAGUGGAACCCAGUGUUAAAGCUACGAAGUUCAUGACCAUUGAGACACGGUCAGUAAAAAAGAAACCAGUAAUGGGAAAGUUGACAACUAAUCUUCCAGUCUAAAACUCAUGACAAGAUGGGUUGUUAUAGACACAGAUUCAUGCUGCUGCCAUGACACCUGAAGCCACAAGUGCGACAUGCCGAGAAAAGGAAGUGAAUCUUGGCAAUCAGCCUUGUGGUGCAGAAAUCCCCACCAAAACGACAAAAGGCAUUUUUGUUGAAGGAAUAGUGGAUGAUUAUGACGAGGACGGUGGUAAGGCCUCUGAUCCACCAACCAGGUCGUUUUUUCGACGACGACUUGAAGAGUAAUCUUGACAACUUGAGCAGAUGUUCAGCCGAGAGAUAAAAAAACAUAUUUAAAGAAAUGCGUGAUAAUAUCGCUGUACAUAAUUUAUUGCUCGAAGUUCUGGUUAGUAAAGUCCAUGACAUUGGACCCACCAAUCGAUCCAGGCAUCAUUUUUUCAGGAAUAACCCACUACCAAUAGUACAGGUCGAGACAUAAUCCACUUGGCUCAAAAUGAUUAACUUACAGAAAAGUGGUGGGUUAAUCAGCAGAUCAAACGGAUUCGACCAGAGAGCGGAAACGACAUAUGUUGAUAUGGUUGAAGUUUAGAGAAUGAUUGAUUCGGCCUUGAAAAAUGGGCCAAAGUUUCCAAAAUUCAUUCACCCAU
rnacentral:lncRNA from 1 species